rnacentral:lncRNA from 1 species
GGAGAAAAACUUGGUCAAAAAUUACUUUGCCAAGGCCUAAGUUUGAACAUGCCAAAAUUCAACUCAUAAAGCCAAUUGACAAUUCUAUUAAUCAUGACUUACCGGCUUCCUUUGCCUAAAGUAAUUAUAAUUAACGACAAUUGCAUGAUUGAAAUGACCAUUGGUUUAGAAGGAAAUGUGGACUAGGGUCUAGGAAGUAUAUAAAAUAAUCAUAAGUUUCCAGAUCUUUGAGAGGCCUUUCUACUCCCGGUUACUGUUGAGAAAAGUCAUUACAGAUAUUUUAUCCACUCUGCAACAAUACGAAUCGUAGUAGUCACCUUUCAGUCUUUUACAUCUUCUUUGGGAGAUUAGGGAACGUAAAGUGAUGUAGAAAACUCUUGAAUUCUUCAACCUUUUCUAGGCGAUUACAACAAAUGUAAUGAAAAAUUUUAGUAGCUUGAUUUGUUUUCUGCCCGGUUUCUUUCUAAAUGACAAUUGGUCUUUAAUAUACUGGCUAUCAACCUGAACUUAUCCUUUUGCUGCAUUUUCUGCCACUUUUUUUUUUUUUUUCCGUUUUUGCUUUUUUGGUCCUAUGGUGGGACUAUGGACCAACUCCUUUUCCAAAUUUGCACCUUUUUAGCCCACAUUUUUUUACCCCCUUUGUACGUACUUCUUUCAUAUCAAACACACCAUUGGGGUUGAGGAAGAGAGAUAAGCUCGAAGUCAUGUCUCAUCUCAUGAAUGUUAGUUUGCAUGCAAAACAAGCUGAAGACUUAUCCAGUUGCUGGACUGGUGACGUUCAAAAGUGAAAAAACAUUGAUGGGAUUUUUUAACUAAGCUAAUACUGCAGAACAGGAGCGCCUUUUGGACCAAGGAAAGACGAAUCAGGACUACGGCCAACCAACCAGCACUGCAUUCUUUUCGUUUUAAAAAUCAGAGGCCGUCACCUCUUGAGGAAUCAUUGCAAUUGACCGAUUGGUUUUCUAGCAUACCACUUCUUUCAGAGAAGCUUGAGAUAUUUUGAAUCUGGGACCUAACAGUCAUUGACGAAUGUCCCAACCUACAGAGCUGAAUUUCAAGUGCAUCAUUCAUAUAAUCAUCCAUAGCAACAAAGAGUUUAUUUUUUAUUUUUUUAAAAAAAGAAGGAUAAAGCUACCCGAGAUUACCACAAUAAUCAAUUUACUUAUAUCUGGUGACAAUUUGAAACAACGAAUCACUAUCUUGGACAUGCAAAGAUGCAAUUUAAUUAAGGUCUAAAAGCUCCCAAAAAAGCUUAUGGUUUCGAUCAGCACCAAUACAUAUAUGGUGUGUGAAUUAUCAUUUGAUAUCGUGUUUAUGUUAGCUUCCUCUCUGUUCGUAGAAACACCGUUAUUUAUCUUUCCUACUUUUUAGUUGUUAAAAAGAACUUUCACCACAUUGUCGGUAAGUUGAGCGUUUUCACAUCGAACAACCUUUUCAGCUAAAGUGGAGAGCCGAUAAUGGAAGUGUUCCUGUUCCCGACCAAAGCAAAUGGCAGCAAAUUAGAUGCGUAAAUCAACUUUUCUUCGAUCGUUAACAGAGUAUAAUCAUCAUGAUCUUGUCUGCUUUUAAUUUAGCUUUUACAUAUAUGCUAAUGAAAUAUCUUUCCACCUUCAAUGGCGUGAGAGAAAUCACGUCAGGAGAUUAGCAUAGUUAAGUACUAGAAGUAACAUGCUAACUGUAGGAUGCAUGCUUUAGUACAAUAUUCUAGUGCAGGUUCGCGGUUUCAGAUUUUAAGAAGGCAAAAGGUUCAAAACCUAGAAUGGCUAGUCUGGGGAGUUUAAGAUAUGAAAGGAGAAACUCUCGUAAUCCACUGUAGCGAAGGAACAAAUAGAAGAGAGAGAGAGAGGCAACUGCAUAUAGCCUUGCAAGCCAGUAGUUCAAUAUUCUGAAUGGACCAGCAAGUUUCGACAGUCCUCUCAUUUUGCACCUUAUUAGAAUGUAAAUUUUAGGUACUACUAAUUGGUGCCUUCCCACUUCUGGGGACGUUCCUAGCUGGUGCAAUGUUCCGGGGACCACGGGAUGAUUACAAGUUGUUGAUCCUUGGCCAGUAGAAUCAUUGACGAAGAAAAGUCUUGGACAUUUAACCUCUUCUUGGGACCAUUAUUGGAAAAUCAGAAUGAUUCAAUUCAUUUGAACAUAUUUCAAGUUUUCCACUUGGCUUAUACGACGCAAAUAUUGACAAUUCAAUAUGAAAUAUCCUCUUGAAUGUUUGUUCGCUUUUAGAGGCUUUGAUUCAAUCACGAAAACUAGUUUAAUCCCACGUUGUUCUCGUGGAAAUAGUAGACCCAGAAAUUACCAUACUAUUAUUAUUCGGUUUCAAUCAAUUGAACAAAAGAAGGGAAACGGUUUCAGGAGAGUAUAUCCCUGUGAACUCGACAUUAUGGCGUUUUGGCACUCAUUGAGUUAGGUACUUAGGUGACACCACACAUGACCAUGUUGAAUCCACCCACGUGUCCAAUCUAGCUAAACUCUUUGUUUUUGUUUUUUUUUUUUUUGUUAACACUGUAGGUAUUCGGAACCAUCCGACUAAUCCCACAGCACCUAGACAGAGCAGGAGCGAUCGAUGCCUAGGAGGUCAACAACUGAAUUGCGGACUGGAAUCGAACUCAGGUAGACUCGGAGUAACUAUCCCGCCUCCACCAUCCGAACAACCCAGCGCGGGCGUGCUAAACUCUUUGUUGGAAAAUAGAAAAUUGUGUGUUUCCAUGACGGAAAAUGUAAUGUGAUUGAUCAGUUUGAUUUAGUUGAGAAAACAAAUCUCAUGGUCAAUGUAAAGCUUGUUUUCGUAAAUUUGGGAAGUGCGUACAAGUGCAGAAGAUGAUGAAAGACUGACAUUUGGACAUGGAUGGUACGUCUCGCAAUUUCUUGAACUUGAUUAAUAGAAAACAGACAAAAUGAAAGUAGGGAUGUAUCGGUUUUAAGUAAUCCAUUCACAGAUUUCAGAAUCAAGACAACAAACAAUAAUGUUGCUUUACACAUUUCAAAGCCAUUAAAUAAGUUUGACAAAAAGUUCAGUGUAAAUGAAGAUGGUGUAUUAAAACACUUGGAGAAUAUACCUGCAGCAUCAUGGUGGAGAUGUUUCUUUCUUCUGCGGGAUAUUUAUUACUAAAAAAAGAAGUCCAUAUAGAAACAUCAAUCCGAAAAUAAUUCUAUGGAAAGAAAGUCAAUCAAUAAUCAAUAAUGGCAUCUUAUUGUUUUCUGGGAAAACUUUUGCCUGCAGUUGACUGCAAAUAGUAGUAGUAUUCAUUUCCGGAACGGAACAUAAAAAUGAGCCGCCCAGUUGGGUAGGUAGCCAGAGGGCGUGAUAUCUGCGGACCAUCUGUCCCUCCUCUUCUAUAUCUGUUGGGAGGCCACGACGCAUUGAUUACUACUAGUAGUAUUUUAAGGCACCAAAUCAAUUUAUAUUAACGCCUUCAAAAAAAAAUGCCAUUAUCCGAAUCCUCCUCUCGACAUCAAUUGACUAAAUGAAUCCAGAAGAAGCCUGAUCCUUGACGACAUAUGAUACAGCAUGAUGACCUCUUCAGUUCCUUUCAACGUCAGGUGUCUGUACUUGUGAAUAAUUAUUAUAAUUAAAACAGGACCAGUGGCUAUGUCUGUCGUCUAAGGGAAAAGCAUCAUCGAUCAGGCACUCUAUUAAUCAAUGCGACAAACAAUUAAACAUGCCUCCUGUACCACCAAUGGAUAGAGUUUGUUUGGAUACGAGUUUAUUUGAGAUAAUUACUGUAGUAUUUUUUAUGAUUUAAUAUAUGUGAGAUAAAAAAGUGGUUAAAAUUUGUAAAGUAAAUUAUUUUAUCUGAAAUCAAAUCAUCAUUUUUUGAUCGUCUGUGUGUGUAAUACGUGACUCAAGUUUAAGAUCUGUUGGAGGCAAAAUUAAAGAAAAAAGGUACAAUCUUUGCAGGAUCAACAUUAAUUUUCUUGGUGAAGAGUAAGACAACAUUAAUUGUUAAUAAUAAUGCACUUUUAUUAAUUCCAUUACUACAGAUCAUUAAGAGGCAACGAUAUGAACUUCUUCUAUCCAGAUGAAUGCCAUUUUACGAAGAAUUAAAAAAAAAAAAAGAAAAAAGAAGAAGAUUAUCCUAAACCGAGCUCGCGGCCGCCCAGUGGUGCAAAUUAAAUGGCCAGAUUUAGAAAACAAAACUAUUAAUUACUCCUCCAAAAUUACGUACCUUGCUUAUCUCUUCUUUCAAGUCAUUUUUAUGCAAGAGGAUUGAUAUGCUUUUAAAACUGGGAUUUAUCAUUUUUAUGGAUGUUCCCAAAUAUCCAUAUUAGUAUAUAGUUGUAAAACUUGGACGCAUGAGACUGAGAGCACACGAGAAUUUAUUUAUCGAAUUUUUUGUCGCAUGAUAUUCGGGUAAAAUUAUGUAAUUUCGCAUUAGAACAAAUUCGCGACAAACACAUAGAGGAUGAAUGCCAUGAAUGACAUAUCAAUUUCAAGGUUUUAAGCCAUACUUCAUUUCCUACAGUCACAUUCAUUAUUUGGAUUGAGACACCAAGAUUUAGAAAUUUUAUGUUGAAAUUCUCCAAACAAACCUAAAAAAAAAAGGAGCUCACCUUAAAGUCAUGCAACAAAAUGAUGAUAGUUUUUGAAUGCUAAUUGUUAGAUUUUUUUUUUUUUUUUUUUAGUUGUCAUGCAAACACCAAUCUGUUUUCACAAAUGAUGCUUUGCACCUAGUAACUGGUUAGCACAUUUUUAGAAAAUAACAAAAAUAAUAAUUACCGCAAAGGAAAGAAGAUUUUCUUAGAAUGCUUAUUCCAGGCAAACACCGAACAAGAAGAGCGAGAAACAGAAAAUCUAGGAUCACUACUGUUUGGAGUGCUGCGGUUUGAUCUGUGUCAAGGAUAACCUUUGAGCUCUCGUUGAUGUAAAGACAAAAGUGACAGGGUUGCGAGUAUGGUCAAGUUUUUGAAUCAAGCAAGUUGAUUCAUUUUUUAACUUUUUGAGGAACUUGAGGCCGUUGCUGCUACCCUUGAUGCUGUGCAGUCAACUUGGUUGGGAAUAUUUCCAAAGCAAUAAUAAUUGGGCUUGUUUGGAAGCCAAGUUUUUGGCCUAAUUUUUUAGCUACUAGUUUUUUAACAACUUUUGCUACAGGAACCCCAAAAAACUUAUCAAAGUUUUUUACCUACACACUUCAAUAAUACACAAAAACUUUCCCUUCAACUUUUCUUCUUCUUUUUCCUCCCCCACCCAACCGGCCACCACCUCCACCACCGCUUCCGGAGCCGGUAACUAUUCCGGCCAACUUUUGCCGGCCUUCCUCUUUUUUUUUUUUCACUCCCUUCCCUCCCUUUUUUCAAAAUCUCUUUUUUCUUUCUCCCUCCCCCUCCCCUCUUUCCCUCUGCCUUUCCCCGCCACCUUUCCCCUUUGUCCGCAGUCAUUUCUUCCCCUCAUCACCAGCGCACGCCGCCACCUCGCCGCAAGUCUCUCUCCUCUCGCGCGCUUCUCUGUCUCCGCGGCCGGACACCACUGCCCACGGCCGCGCGACUCCAGCGACACCACAACCCUUCUCUCUCCCUUGCAAUGCCGACGAAGCCACCACCACCUCGCGCGACUCCAGCCCAACUGCCGCCCCUCUGCCUCCCGCCACGCCCCCUGGCUCUACCAUGCGCAGCCGUUCCUCCUUGGCUGCGACCCAAAGCCCUCGUGCGUUCUCUCUCAUCUUCGCAACUCCCACCUUGCCGCUGUUCCUCUCAGCUCCCUCCACCACAGCGCAGGGGUGGGGGAGGGGGGUUGCGGGCAGAGGGAGAGGGAGGGGGAGUUUUUGCAGGGGUGGCGGGGCGGAGGGAGAAGGCGGGGGGAGGGGGUGGCGGGGCAAAGGGGGAAGGGGGGAGGGAGGUGGCGGGGCAGAGGAGGAGAAGGGGAAAAGGAAGAGAGGGGUGGCGGAGCUAAUGGGGAAGGGAAGAGAGGGGUGGCGGAGGUAACGGGGAAGGGGAAGGGGGAAGGAAGAAGAAGAAGAAAGAAAAGAAAAAGGAAAAAAAGAAAAAGAAACAGAAAGAGAAAAGGAAAGAAAAAAAGAAAUGGAAAAAAAAUUUCACCUUACAAAAACUUCUACAAAAUUUUUCUACUUACAAAAAAUUCUACAAAAUUUUUUAAAAAACUUCUACAGUGCACUACAGUAAAGUUUUAGACAAACUCCCAAAAAACUCAGGUUCCAAACAGGCCCAAUAUGUUACUGUUAGAACAAAAUUUUCUCAAAUGUCAAGAUUAUCUACAAUCAAUCAAUCUUUUAUAUUCUUGUUGAUUUUUUAAAAAUUCACUAACUACUAAUUACUUCUCUUUUUCUCUAUCUAAUUAAAGUUUUUUCCUACUCACCUGCACUCUUCUCUCUCUCUCACUCUCACACACAUUGGUUCAUCAAUUAUUUUCAUAAUUUGCUAAAUUGGUCUUGGUUUUAAUAAUUUCUUGUGUAUUAAUUCUACAUGUCCUUAUAUUUUUUAUUUUUAAAAUUUUAUUCAAAAUGUCCUUUUUUCAAAUAAAAUGUAAUUUAAGUAAAAAAAAAAAAACCAAGAGUGCAUAGAACCGAAAAAGAUACAAUAAAAGAUUAAGGCAAAAAUUAAGUUAUUUAAUUGUAAAACAAUAGAUCUAUUAGUCUGUGGGUGAGAAAGAGAGAGAUGAGAAUAGCAGGAAGAAGAAUGAGAGGCCCUAUCAGAAAAUAUUUAAUUAGAGAGAGAAAAGAGUAGUAAUUUAUGCACAUGAAUCUUAGGAAAAUCAAUAAAUAAAUAUAUAAUUAAUUGAUUAAGAGUAAUUUUGAUAUUUGAGAAAAAUGUGUUUUGCUGGGAAGAUAAUGAGUGUGUUUGGAUUGAGAUGAUUUGAAAAAAAUAAUAAUAAUUUACUUCACAAAUUCCAAUCACCUUUUUUAUCUUCCCAAUCAUCUUUUUAUUUCACAUACAUCAUAUCACAAAAAAUAUUACAAUAAUUAUCUCAAAUAAAUCAUCCAAAUAAACUUGCGAGUCAACUUUGGCAGCUACACGCGCAAGGGGUUGGACCAUCAUGGUUGAUGAAGUAAUGCCCCGUGAAUCGACCUUAGCCACAACAAUAGGUCCUCUUUUUGAUUUCGCAAGCAGGACAUUUUCAACGUACUAGGCGUCUGUCCGUGAAUGAAAACCAAAACCCAAUUCAAUUUGUGGUCGUGGACGGUACUAUUGAAAGUGCAUUGAAGUAUAAUAGUUGAGUUUUUCUUUCUCUUCUAAUAAAAAAUGAUUACUAGGAACAGACAACAAGGAUAGUUAUGCAAAAGGAUUACGAGCCAAUAAUAGUGUACUUCUAUUAUAUGCUAACUCGCAACUGAUGAGAACAAUAAUGUAAUUAUUUUCAAAUCAAUGAGCAAUUUCACGUCACAAAUUUGGCUUUGGGUAGCAUACUUUUUUUUUUUUUUUUUGUCAAUACAAGGGUGUCCGGGUUAAUCCUUACGGGCCCGACUAAUCCCUGCGGCUUGGAAGAGGAGACCCCACCCCACACCGAGCACGUUAAUAAUGGGACUCGAACCUGGACAAAUUUGGCUUUGGGUAGCAUACACAUAAUAAGUUAGUUAUAUACUAUAAAAUUUAUUAACUAGUGCCUGAAAAACAUCCCUACUAUUUUGCAUCAUCUUAGUCAUCUCCUUACGUAUCAAACGCCGUUGCAGUCAUGAUCCCCAUCCCAUCAGUCAAAAUUUAAUAGUGCAAAAUACAUGAAUUAACGAUUUUUCAUCAGACGUCUUUUCCCGAUAUGUUUCCUUUUUGAAAAAUUUUUUUUUUUUGGUGGAGCUGAAUUGUCGUGAAAUGUCACAAAUUGACACUAACACGAGGGGCCUUUUGGAAACCACUAAUAGUCGGUUUAGGAGGCCACAGGAUCUGACAAUUAACGAUUUUAAUUAACAUAAAGAAUCUAAAGAAUGAGGGGAGGACCAGAUGUCAAAGACCCCAUGUACCCAUAUGUCACGGGCGAGCUGCGGGGUAGGGGUAAAGAUGUCAAAAGAGUGUGGGGAGAGUUUGUUGAUUGCGAAGGCAAAUUAUUAGAGGUGAAAGGUAAAUUAAACUAUUUGAUAUUUGACUCGAAUCCGAUUGAGUAAGAUUUCAGUUCUAAUUUGAUACAAUAAUGAGUUAAGUCAAACUUAAAUGGUGUUUUAAAGUCAAAGUUAGUUGGUAAAUAAAUAAGUCGAAGGUGAAUAAAAAUUUAAACUUGUUAAAAUAAUUAAACAAUUAUAACGUAAUGGUGUUUGACUUGCCUAAACUCACUUUAUACCCCUCACAAGUUAGUGAAAGUUAACCGUUUCUAGUUUCUUGUUUAUAGUAUAGUAUGCACUAAUUAUGGUGAGGACUGCGGGGUUUAUUAAAAAAUUAGCCAAUUUCCAUAACCAAAUAGAGAAGUGAACGAAUUAAAAGUAGUACAGUAAAAUCCAACAUGCAAAAAAGGAAAGAAAUAUAACCGUAUCAUAUACGUAUCAUAUAUGGACUACAGUAGCAUGACGAGAAUUGACGGGAGAGGAGCUAGAGAGGAAGGAGGGAGGAUACACCCCGACCCCCCCUUUUUUUUUUCUCCUUUUGUUUAUUCAUUCAUUCAUUUAUAUUUAAGAGGAAGGCUUGGAGCAUGGUGACGGGUGAGGAGUAGGGAGGGAUGCAAUAUUGAAUUCAACGACGAGCAGUAGCUCAAUAGGAGGAAAGAAAUACCAACGAAGAAGAAAAGACGAAAGAAACUGGACUAAAAAAACCAAGAAAAAGGGAAAGAAGGGUGGGGAAAAAAGGAAGAAGAAAAGGAAUUGAUUUACAAAAACAUGGUGGGAUUGCGGACUGCGAAUUACAAUGGAAUGUUUGGUAGGGUAUCAAUGUGCGGCGCCGGGGCAGCAGAAGAGAUGGAGCAGUUGUCCAGAGAAGGCAGCCAUUACAGUAUAACCUCCGGGAUCCUUCCUUCGCUGGGUGCAAGAAGCAACCGCCGCGUCCAGCUCCGUAGAUUCACUAUUUCCCCAUAUGAUCGCCGCUACAGGUGAGUGUUUUGUUUUUUGUGUUCUUUAGUAACUAUAUAACAAUAUGACUAUAUGGCCGCGCUUUCGGGGUCUAAGAUUUUCUUGUUUGCGUAAAUUACCGCAUGUUUUUGUUAGAGACGAUUUUUUUUCUACUGAUAGAGGUUCGUUUGUAUUCAUCCGUUUACUCAAUGAAUGAAUGAAUGUUGCAGAAUGGAAAGUGAUGAUGAAAUCGUUGUCUGACCCAAGAGAAUAAUAGAGUCGUAGAGCGGGAUUUGACUUCUUCCUCUUCUUCUUCAUUUAUUUAUUUAAGGAACGAAAACUGCUUUGAGAAGAAGAUGCACUGUAAAUAUGGUUGCCAAGGCUUCAGCUUACGAAUUCUUACGAAAUAAUUCAGAAUUUCCUCUGUCUUUUAAUCUUGUUUCUUCCAUGAGCCAGCCGCUUUUUCACAGUGUCUGCCCCGGUAGUUGGCUGUUACAAUCAUUGUUUCACCUUUUUUUUUUUUUUUUAAACCUUCUCGCUUUUAUGUCAACAAAGUUAGUACUAUUUUCCUACCAACCACUUUUCGCGGAAGUCAUUCUACUCCCUCAUUUAAUAAGAAUCGGUCGUUUUUCCCCCCCUUUUUGUGUGUUAAAAACAAUCUAUUUAGUGUGCUUUCCCAAAAAAAAAAAAAAAAAUCAUCAUCAUGUAGUGUGAGUGAAUUGUGAAUUGGGUGAAAAGAAUUGGAUUAUUGAGGGGUGACUAAGUGGAACCCAAUUCUUCAUCCAAUUAACGGAAGGCAUUUUUUCGUGCAGUAUCCUCCAACUCCAAAAUAAUAGUAGCACUAGAUAUUUUUCCUGUUUUCCUCAGAGGCUCUUUGAGUCAAUAGAGGUUCCUUUCAGUUUCAAAUGCUAAUCCAGAAUUCUUUGAUAUGCUUUCUUUUUCAUAGACUGUGCUUUAUCCGUAUUUUCACAAGAAUAGCCUCAAUCCUUUGUUUGCCCUGGUAGUGACACCAGGGUAAAAUUUAUGCUUUCUUUGUGCUCUAUUUGCAAUUUGGUAAGUUGUUGAAUUUUGCUAGUGUAUAUCUUCACGCCCAUGUGGUAUGGAUUAAAAGACAGUAAUACAACAGUAUCGUUUUAUUCAAUAUCUGAAUGUGUCAAUUAUGAGGCUAUUUCUUGUGUUUUAUCAAUGGAGACGUUAGGAAAUUGUUGAAUUCCACUUGCGAUGUUUGCUGUUGUAGACUCUUCGUCUGUUCUUGUGUUUCGACCGUGCUCUAGACUGUUUCUGUAUUCAACGUUAUGCUUUGAUGAUUUUUGCAGUUUCAUAUUAUGUGCAAAGUUCUUUAUGUUUGAUCCAAGCAAUACAAUUGCAUUUUUUACAGGGCAUGGGAAACGUUUCUGAUUGUUCUGGUAGCUUAUACUGCUUGGGUGUCUCCAUUUGAGUUUGGGUUUUUGGAGGAACCAGAGGCACCAUUGCCUAUUUUGGAUAAUGUCGUCAAUGGUUUCUUUGCCAUUGAUAUCAUUCUCACUUUCUUUGUUGCAUACCUCGAUAGAACUACGUAUCUUCUCAUUGAUGAUCGCGGGCUGAUUGCUUGGAAAUACGCCAGCAGUUGGUUGGCCUUCGAUGUUGUCUCCACUAUUCCUUCUGAACUUGCUCGCAGAAUUUCUCCUCAAGCUUUGCGGACAUAUGGCUUAUUCAAUAUGCUUCGUCUCUGGCGUCUUCGUAGAGUUAGUGCCUUAUUUGCCCGGUAAAUGACUCAAAUAGCUAACCGAAUUGUUGAGCGCACUAAUCUUUUCCAGGCAUGAAGAAAUUGCUCUCUUUGUAAUUUAUACUGACUGAUUCCUGCUUCCCCCCCACCCCCACCCCCACCCCCUUCUUACUUCGGAACAGGUUGGAGAAAGACAGAAACUUCAACUACUUUUGGGUUCGAUGCGCUAAGCUUAUUUGUGUAUGUAUAUAUUACACAAUUUGUUGGUAAAUAAAUCAUUAGUAUAAAGUAGUUAGGUUAUCUCGUUAAAUGCUGAUCCAUGUGUGAUUAUAGGUGACUCUUUUUGCUGUUCAUUGUGCGGGGUGCUUCUACUAUCUGCUUGCUGCUCGUUAUCACAAUCACAAGAAGACAUGGAUUGGGGCUUCUAUGGGGGACUUCCUUCGGGAAAGUCUGUGGAUCCGUUAUGUAACCUCAAUGUACUGGUCCAUCACUACUCUAACUACAGUUGGUUAUGGUGACCUACAUGCCGAGAAUACGAGAGAGAUGAUCUUUGACAUCGUUUACAUGCUCUUUAACCUGGGGCUGACAGCAUAUUUGAUAGGAAAUAUGACCAAUUUGGUUGUUCAUGGAACCAGUAGGACCAGAAAAUUUGUGAGUAAUACCUAUACAUUGUUUUUUUGUGAUUUCUUGAAGUCAAGUCUAAGUUUAGGAUAUUUAUGUUAACUGCUUGCACAUGAUCUUCAAUUUUAAUGAGGCCGUGCAUUCAUACAUAAACAGAGAGAUACCAUUCAAGCUGCAUCAAGUUUCGCUCAGAGGAACCAGUUGCCUCUUCGCCUACAAGAUCAGAUGCUCUCUCACUUGUGCUUGAAGUUCAGAACUGACUCAGAGGGGCUGGAGCAGCAAGAGACUCUAGAUUCUCUUCCAAAAGCCAUCCGGUCAAGCAUUUCACAUUUUCUCUUUUACUCCCUAGUGGAUAAGGUGUACUUAUUUCGUGGCGUGUCCAAUGACUUGCUCUUCCAACUGGUAAUUCUUUGGAACGGUAGAACAUUUUCACUUUUCAAGUUUGAGGCCUUAUAGCAUAUACUUCCUAUACUGCCAGGUUUCAGAGAUGAAAGCUGAGUACUUUCCUCCCAAGGAGGAUGUAAUUCUGCAGAAUGAAGCUCCAACAGAUUUUUACAUUCUUGUGUCAGGAGCAGUGGUAAAAUUGGGCUUCCUUUUUCAUUGUGAUUUAUCGAAAGUCAUGUGCUUGUAAUUUGUUACCCUCAUUUGGACUUGUAAAAAAGCUGUUGACUCAUAAAUGCCUGCUGCUGAUGUUUGAACUGCUCACAGGAUUUACUGGUUUUCAAAAAUGGUGGCGAGCAGGCAAGUGCAAUGCAUAGCUCGGAUCAAAUACUCCCCCAUUGUUUUUCCCUGGACUACACUAUCUACUUCAACAAAUAAUGGAAGAUUUAGACUUUCCUUUUAUAUUGAAGAUGUUGACUGAAUUUUCAGAUUGUUGGGGAGGCAAAAAAUGGUGAUCUCUGUGGUGAGAUUGGGGUUCUUUGCUAUAGGCCUCAGCUGUUCACUGUACGAACAAAAAGACUGAGCCAGCUAUUGCGACUGAAUCGAACCACAUUUAUGAACAUCAUUCAGGCCAAUGUUGGAGACGGGACCAUUAUCAUGAAUAAUCUCCUUCAGGUCCGUAUGCUUCAUUAACUGGAAGACGAUUUUCAAUUUUGAUUGAAAAUUUUCGUUACAAGGUCCUUUUGGGUUCACUACUGCACACUCUCUGUCAUUGACUAUCAUUGAAUUGCUUUUGGCUUUCUUCAUUGGUUGCGCAGCAUUUGAAGGAGCUAAAGGAUCCAAUCAUGGAGGGAGUGCUGAUAGAGACAGAGAACAUGCUAGCUCGCGGUAGAAUGGACCUACCUCUCAGCCUCUGCUUUGCAACACUCAGAGGAGACGACUUGCUGUUGCAUCACUUGUUGAAACGAGGUCUAGAUCCAAAUGAAUCUGACAACGAUGGGAGAACUGCCCUGGUGUGUAUAUACUACUCUCAUUUGACUCCUUAAAAAUUAUUUCUAGAAUGCAAUUCUGUCUUUUUGUUCAUUCUACAUCCUUUUAUGUACUCAGCAUAUAGCUGCGUCAAAAGGAAACGAGAAUUGUGUGCUACUGCUUCUGGAUUUUGGAGCGGACCCCAACAGCAGAGGUAUCUCCAACUUUCAUACUGCUUUAAGUUAUGACGUCCAAAUACUGCUAUGGGAACCCAACUUUCUUUGUGAUGAUAUAGAAGCAGGAAAACAAUUUAAACAAUUCACCUCAUUAUCAAGAGGGCUGUCCUCCUUGCACCCCCCGCAUCAUUUGUCGCAAACUAAUGACAAUUAUAAUUUACAUGCCCCUUCUUCAUAUUUUAUAACUACAGUAAUGGCAGCAAUAGUCAACUUAGCGAAAUGUGGCCCCUAAUACUCUCCAGGCGUCAGUUUUAUUUAUUAAUUUGAGCCGUCUUUGAUUUAAUUGCUAGUACUGUAUGAUUUACCCCUCAUUCUGUCCGCGAGUGCGUCCGUAUUGGGCUGGCCCUCUUGCAUCAAUGAAAAGUGAAAAAUACCCUUUUGGUCACUCCGUACAAGUUGAAAAUGGCUGAAUCUGCAUCUCCUAGACAACUGUAACACCAGUCUCAUUUACUCUUUUAAAAGGUCUCUAUAUUUACUGCGAUUGUCCAUUUCAUUAUGGUCUGCCUGUUGAUCUGUAUUGAUGGCCAAAAAAAAAAAAAAACGCGUGUGCUUGUGAUUAUGCAGACUCGGAGGGAAACGUACCAUUGUGGGAGGCCAUGUUGGGCAGGCAUGAAUUAGUCGUCAAGCUAUUGAGUGAUAAUGGCGCCAAAAUAACUUCUGGAGAUGUUGGCCAAUUUGCAUGCACUGCUGCUGAACAUAACAACUUAAAAUUGCUACAGGAGAUUGUUCGUCUCGGCGGGGAUGUUAAACGUCCCAGGAGCAAUGGAUCAACAGCUCUUCAUGUUGCUGUUUGUGAAGGUAACAAUGACAUUGUGAAAUUCCUCUUGCAACAAGGCUCUGAUAUUGAUAAAACAGACGAACAUGGCUGGACCCCGAGAGCUCUAGCUGAACAGCAGGGUCAUGAAGACAUUACAGCUCUCUUUGAAUCCAUCAAAGAAACUAAAACUCAACCUGUUGCUCCAAUCUUGGAAGAAAAGCAUGGAGUUCGGUUCCUUGGAAGAUUUAAAAGUGAGCCUACGAUCUUCCCUGUGCCGCAGGAAGGCUCAUUCCGAGCCGUUGGAGGAUCGUGGGGACGAUCAAGUAGAAGACGUAGGGCUGAUAAAUUUCACAAUUCACUAUUCGGGAUCAUGUCAGCUGCCCGGAAUGGGGAGAACAGCUUGCUUUUAUCCGUGAAUCAGGCUAAACUUGCCACGGUUACCAGAAUCUACGUUGCUAGAGUGACCAUAAGUUGCCCUGAGAAAGAAGAUGUUGCUGGAAGGCUUGUUUGCCUUCCACCUAGCUUCCAAGAGUUACGUGAGAUUGGAUUCAAAAAAUAUGGGUUUUGGCCAGCCAGAAUAUUGAACAAGGAUGGAGCUGAAAUUGACGAAAUUGAGUUGGUAAGGGACGGUGACCAUUUGGUACUCGUAAGCGAUGGUGGCGUGCGCGAGCCUAAUCAGCAAAGAGCUGAAGGUGCUGAUGGUGUAUUGAGAUAAACCAGAAAACCGCGUUUUCCAUUUUUCUUCCUAAAUCUUUGUAGGUUCCUCAAUGCCAUCAAUUUCCGGAGCCAACGUCUUUGAUUGUGUAGUCAUAUCUAUCAUUCACCAAUUGUUUUUGCUCAGUGAAUGCACGCACCCAUUUGGGGGCUACACUCAAUCAUUCUCUUCUGUGCCCUCAACCCAAUUGUUUGCCACGGGAUAAAUUCGAAUCAGUUCACUAAAGAUUAUAUCACAUAAGAUUUAUGCUUCUAACACAACCGAAUCAAAUGAUCUCCAAGCCGUAAUUCUCUUUUUUAAGUCGAAGUAAAGGCAAGGUCAGACCUGCAAUAUCUUCUGGUUCCCCAUACAGCUGUACUCCGGAGUAUUAGCAAAUACAAUACACAUGCAGCAGAAAAUCAAACUCAACCAUAAUGGAUGGGCAUAUGUACGUACAAUAUAAAUUAGUAAAAUAGCUAACAUGUGAUACUGCCAAAUUCAGAUCCUCUCAUCUGCACAAAGGUUUACUAUAGACAUUAAACUAUAGACAUAUCUUCCAUACUAUUUAUUAUAAUGGUCAUCAGUACAAACACGAAACAGCUUCGGAUCUCGAGUGAUAACUUCAAAGCAGUUCAUGGUACCAUACACAUCCAGAUAACUCCUCCCUACAACAGCUUCAGCAUUUUGAGCCGUUCUUCAUGCUCCAGGUCCAAUUUUGGAGCGGUAUAACAGCCUCGAAGGUCCUCAACAAUAUACUCCUGCAAAAUCCCAAAAAAUGAACGUCAGCAGUGAGGGAAAGAGGAGGAGAACAAAAAUAACCUAGCACUACAAAAUAGGAAGGGCAAAUAUUUGGGUCUCGAGAAUUUUCCGUGCUGGGACCAUUAGAUUAAAAGUUCAGAUUUUUCUGAUCAUCUAUUCUCCAGAAACUGAUUGGAAAACUAUGUGCCUAAAGAACUCAGAAGUCUGAACAUCGCCCAGCUUCAACGCUAUCUUGGUCAACAUCAACGGCAAGUAUUUCCUUAGUAAUUCAAAACCAAAGUGGUCAACCACAAGAUCACAGAUGAAGCAAUUCUAAUGGAAAAGAAAAUUCUAAGAAUUUCAGGACCGGUUGUCGGAGUUGGAGAAUAAGAGAUAGAGUAGUUUUAAGUAGUAAAGCAUAACCAAGUAUCAAUUUCCAAAUGACCACUGGAACUGGAACAGUCCCUUUUCCUUUUAGGUGUUUUGAAGCACAGAAAUUGGAUACCAGUCUCACCAUAAAUCUUCAAUGGAUGCCCAUGAAUUUCAAAUCUCUAGUUUACCUACUAUUUCCAAGUCCAAACAUUAAGAGAAAAUUAUCAUUCUGCAGACUGAACUUCAAAAGAACAACCUCAGAUUUCCAAAGUAAACCCCCUUUUCUCUCACAUUGCUCCUACUCUUUUUUAAAGAACAUACUGUCACCAUUAACAAACCUCGUUGAUAAUAAAAGGAAACUCCAGCAAGUCAUUAACUCCAAAAAUAAAAUGAAGUAAAAGAAGUCGACACCAUUGACUAGCUUCAUCAUAAGAUUCCAAAACUACACAAGUUCACUCAUACCACAAUGAUUAUUUGACUUAUCACAUAAUUUAUACAAGACAUAGCCAAGAGAUUUUACCUGUGUGAGUUCUCUCUUCGUGAGGAUGUGGUAGUGUCUCUGCCAAAUCCUCUGGAUGGCCAUGGUGGCAGCAAGGAAACCAUAAGCAAUUCCAAGAAUGGCAAAGAUGACAACAAAAACAAUUACUAGGGCAAAGCAUGCUUCCAUGGAUGCAGGGAAACAAUCCAAGAUGCCCCAGCCAUAACAACAAUUUUGACAACCAGCCACACGCGGGUCAUUGCUGUUCAGAGAGGAGCAGUGUAGUAUGAGCCCAAAAAAUCCCAGCAGCACAAAGAAGCCAAGAACCCCUGUUCAGUCAAUGAAUUGGUAUGGUUAGAUCCAUGGGAUCUUUCUGCCCUAUUGAAUGCAAAAAAGAGAUACUCAUGACUCCUUAGAGAAAGCAUUACAGAGACAGCAACUAAAACAUGCAACCCGAUUAUUGAUUAAUGUUACCAGAUCAGUAGUAACAAGAUUUAUCGCAUUAACAAUUCCAGCAAAUUCAGGAAUACUUGAAAGGCAACAACUGUAUCAGAAUCUUGCGAAAACAAUAAAAUCAAGUGGAAGGAAAACCCAUCUUGACAUGCUUAAAAGAAGUUAAAUCUUCAUAAUACAGUCUCAUUUAUUUCAUGGAAAUGAAUUGCAAGGUACAUUUAAAAUAUUUCCUAAGUUUAUGGGUUUAAAACACAUUAAAAACUGCCUACCCAACAGCCAGGCUAUCUUUUCGACGAAAACCAUGAUACUCUUUUGUAAGUGACACAAGAGCUAGGCCAUCACCAUGCUCAUGUCAUUCUCUCCCUUCAGAACUCUGGCUACCAGGCCAAACCCCAUUUAUAUAUUUGAUAAGAUCAUCAAGCCAUUCAUCUAUGCUAUCCUUUUAAACGUGUUCUCUUAACAUAAAAAGGUCACACCUCACCGAAAUAAACAUCUUUUCUUAACAUAAAAAGGUCACACUUCACCGAAAAUGGAGCACCGCAAGGGCAAAUACUUGGAUAGACCUGGACCACCAGCAAGGCUGUGGACCAUGUGGCCAAAAACUCGCCACAUCACUUCCUUGCUGAAAAGCCUGAAGAUUGCAAAGAAAAAGCGCGGCGUGGCUUAUUUAUUUCCACAGGGUCUAUUUCGAGGUGGUGGACCAGGUCUAUGUAAGUCUUUGCCCACAGGACUAACAAAUCUACCACAGGAGAUACAAUAGUGGACCUUUGAUGCAUUUAGUCUUUGGUCUACAAAAUAAAUUUGUCGGUGCACCUAUACAGUAAUAAAAUGGAAUUGGAUGCUUAGAAAGUAUGCGAUCCCAGCUAUCAUUGAACGAGUUCCUGAAAGAUCCAUCUCUAUCCAUGAGGUAAGCAAAACCGCCAAUCAUAGCAAUCACCUGAAGGAACAAGUGAAAACAAGUUAAGACAUUAGAAGACACCCAGUAUAGAAAUUUGAAGUCCAUGCCAUGCAUCAUGUCUAAAGGAAAAAAAAAGAGAAAACAAAAGUCUCAACUGACAGUUGUGACAGAAUGCCGCAACAACCUCAUAUACUUAUGUUCACCUCUUUAUUACUUAAUAAAACUUAGAAAAACAAGGAAAAAGAAAAGAAAAAAGUCAGAGAAGAACUAAAUGAGAAAACUCAUUCAUGUAUCUAAACAAAACAUUUCAAAGUUGAGGACCUCAGCGCUUACUCACCACUAACUUUAGAUUUUCAAGAAAUCACACAAUCUGGGUACCAAUUCAGAUGCGUGAGCCAAAAGACUAGUUUAGUAGUAAAUUAAAGUGAGAAAAUUAGCAACCAAAUAACCAUUUGGGGAUUAGCCACAAGCAAAUCCAGAGCUAUAUAGUUCAUUACAGAAUAUCCUCAAAUUCAAUCCUUCACUCCUAGCGGUAGAGUGUAGAUUUAGUUAAAUUUGAUAUUAUAAACUUACAGCAAAAUAACUACUAAAGCACCAAUUGUGUCCAUCCAAUCAUUAUGGGAGAUAGCAACAAGAAUAAAACCUCAUAACUUAGAAAACAUGCAUAGCCAUUCCGAACUUUUAAGAUAAAUUUAAUUUAACCCCAAUAAUAUAAAUUAAAAAGAAUCCUUAUAACCACACUUUACAUGAAAUUGACAGCAAAAAAUCAUGCUUACAGUUUGUACAGCAAGAAAUACGAGGAAAACAUCUCUUGCAACAAAGAUCCUAAAUUUUAUUUUUCGCCAAGAAUUGUCCUCCAACUCUGCCACUCGAAGAUGAAAUUGAGCUUUACAAGUUGUGCAAUGAGAAAACGCAAAACCUUCCUGCAAUUGCAUGCUGUUAUGAUCAAUAAAACAGAAUCUGCAUCCUUAGUAUCACCACGUGGUCACACCAGAAUUAUUCUCCUCACCUUGACUGACCGCCAGUGAUCAAGGCAAGAACGAUGAACAAACUGCUGUGUGCCUUUGCACAUGCACGGAGAUAUCAAUUCAUCAUCUACCAAUCAAGGAAAAAUAAUUUUUUAGGCCAGCAAAAUGAGACUCAAUGUGCAAUGCCACAGUCCACAGCAGAAGAACAAUACCAACACAUACUGCUCAACCACUAUAAAUGGUUAUCCCAAGCCAUUACAAAAAGGAGACUGCAAUUUUAUCGAGAAUGGAUGCUAAUAAUGUAUGACAGUCCAAAUAUAUGACAGUUUAAAAUGAAUGAAAAGCAAUAUGACAUCAUCAGCACUUGAACAAUCAAUUCCAAUGAACAAAAAUUAAUGCUUGAUUAACUAGACAGAUCCUUGAAUGCACAAACACAAGUUUCUUGCUUUAAAGCUUUCGAGUUCAAGAAUCGGGAAUAUCCUCUCAUGCUUCCAAUGGUAACAAAUUUCGAUGACGACAAACGAACUUGUCCUAAUUGUCAUAACUCUUCUACCUAGUCGUCACCUUUGUCAGUAAUAAUCGUAAGACAAUCCUAUGUUCAAGUUAACAAUAUACAUUUAUAUGUUAAAGCAUAAAACUGUAAAUUUUUGUUCUCCUUGAUAAGUGUCAUAUUUUGUUUCUCAAAUAAAGGACAAAAAAAUUGAUUAAACUAAAAAACGUGGGGGCCUUUGAAGCAGCAAAAAUCAACCAACAGUUCACACGCAAAAAUUGAGCUUGCCCAAAACACCAGAAAUGUCGUAUUUAGACCUAUUGCAUUAGCCAGUAACCUCUCAGAUAAACCGAUUCCCAAAUUGCAAUUACAGCUACACCAAGUAGUAAUAUAAACACGGAAACAUACCAAGUACCAACCACCUCCCACACCCCAAGAGAAAAUAUACCAAUAGAAAAUUGAACAACUAAAAUCCCCAAAGAAUCAACAAAACGCGAUGAAAUACACCGUUCUGAACAGAUGAAACCUACUAAUAUACAGAUUACUAGCAUCAGUUUUACCAUCUUCACCGUCGCAUUCGAGACAAAUCCUACAACAAGGCAAGGAACCGGCCUCAAGGUCUUCAUCCUUUAUCUCGCUGGAGCUUCCCGAGGACGAUGGCGACGAAGUGUCGAUAUGCUUUUGAAGUUGUUGGCGUUCAUGAAGCAGAGGAUCGGAGUCACUGGGGUUCCGGUCACCACCAAUCGACUCCAGCUGCAAUUCUCCGUUCAUCGGAAAACCCUAUCUCAAUAACAGGAAAAAAAAGUUGAAAAUGCAAGAUUGGAAUGAAUUACAAUAUAAAGAACAAUAUUGAAUUAAAAUAACAAAUUUGAGAAUAUAAAUAGAGCAAAGAAACGUAGGAAUUACGGGAAAAUUAAUGCCUGCAAUUUUUUGAGAGAAGACGGAGUAAACGAGAAAUUUAAUCAAAUUUAGGCUCUUUUUUUAAAAAAAAAAUUGUAGUACAGAAAGCGUCAAGGGGGGAGGGUCUCUUCUCUUGACUGCUGACUCCGUUUUUUCGUUAUUUUUUCCUCUUAUUCUUUUUCUGCUUUAAUUACUAAAGAAGUGAAGAGAAGAGACGAGAAGAGAAGAAUACGCUGUUAUCAGUGAUUAACUAAUUUAAGUAAGUACUUACUGAUACAUAAGUGGAUAGGGCUUGGAAUACUACACGUAGGUAUUUCUGGACUGCACGAGGACAAAUAUGGACUUAUAAUCUAGGCUGGAUGGGCCAUCUGAAUUAGUUUCUGCCAGAAGGUAUUGUUAAUUUUGGCCCAUAUCAGUCGAGAAUUACUCUAAGGGGGUCUGAAUCGAAAUCGAAGUCGGUUAUUCGGAACUUUGAAAUCAAAAUUUUCGGAAUUUGGGUAUCAAAAUUUCGAACGAUUUCGAUUUCAAAUUCACCAAUUUCGAAUUCGAAUUUGUUCUGAAUUCAAUUUGAAAUUCAGUAAAUUCUGAUUUCACAAAAUUCAUGAAUAUAAAAUUUAUUAUUAUUAUAUAAAUAUUAUAUUACCUAUAUAUAAAAAAAUGUUAUAUAUAUGUGUGUGAAAACGAAAUUGAAAUCGAAAUAGGAAUUCCGAUUUCACCGAAUUCAUGAAUAUAAAAAUUAUUAUUAUAAUAUAAAUGUUAUAUUAUAAUAUAUAUAUAUAUAAUAAAUUUAAAAUCGAAAUAGGAAUUCCGAAUUCCGAUUUGAAAAAUCUCAUUACCAAAUUCGACCAAUUCGAAAUUUCAAAUUCAAAAUUCAAUUCGAAUUCGAUCGGUAAAUCGAAAUUUUUCGAUUUUGCACACCCCUACCCCUAAGUACUUUUUCAUCAAAUUUUUUGUAUGGCUAACACAGAUAGAAAGAAGUUGACUUUGUUGACAUAAAUUAGCAUUCAUUUAUGCAACGUAUGGAGCGAGGGAAUUUGAUGAAUGCUUUAAAUUUGUUUAAAUCCUUUUAAAUUACUAUUUGGAUUAUUUGAAAUAUAGGAAUUUUUAAUUUAUCAAUUACUUGUAUAUAUCAUAUAUAUAUAUAAUAAAAUCGUAUUCUCAUUCUUAUCUUUUCAUGUUUUCUCUUUCUUACGUGGCUUAACGAGAUGGCAAGUAGUUUCAUUCGUGACUUGCUCCUUUUUUGUUUAGAUAUAUAUAAAUUCUUAUUUUCUAUAUUUUCUAUAAGAAUUCUUAAUAUUAUAUUAUUCUUAUUUCCUACCCAAAAAAUGAAUUGGAAAGUAAUACGAUAUAAAUAAAAGAGACAUAAAUAUCUUUAUUAGAUAUAUCUUCAAAUUCAUGCCAAUAAUCUGUGUACUGCAUAGGGAACCCGAAGUAAAUAAGAAUUGUUAUCACUACAAGAAGUAGAAAAGUAACUAAUUUCAAAAGGAACCAUUAAUAAUAGAAGUCAAUAUCUGAUGUUGGAAAUAUAAUUUUUAAUAAAUUUUAUUAUUAAGUGUGUUAUCAAGACAUAGUGCAUAGCAUGAAAUUUAUAAAAAAAAAAAAAGUUAAUUGAAUUCAAUUAACUAUAUGUAUUUAACCCGUACGGUCAAAUAUAAAUUCCUAUUUGAGCACGGGUUUGUAAAAUCUUAUAAACCCGUUCGUUGUUAAUCAAAACAUGCAGGUUAUACUCAUUGCUAGAUUAUAGGAUCCACAAUACACCAUAGAAGUCUAUGCACUUAAAGGACUUGAUAUAGUUGAGGUGGUCUUUCAAGGUAGGUAAAAUUUAUCUUGAGAACACACUUUUAUUUCCUAUAAGAAUUCUUAAAAUUAUAGGAUUCUUAUUUCCUACCCAAAGUUACGUAUUUUAAACAAUUUAAAUCAAGAUAAACCUACUUUUAAUGUUUUUAUCAAUAUCUCUUUAUAUUCUUAUCAAUCCUUAUUUCUUAUGCCUACACUACAUAUAGUCUCUAAUAUAUUGAUUUCAAGCAUCAAAUUCAUGUUUAAGUAUUUUCAGUGCAAGCGGUUGGCACAUUAAAGCAUCGAUUUUGGGUUUUCACUCCCCUUGAUUAUCAGGUACAUUUUCUUUCAAAACAUUUUUUUUUAAAAAGGCAUGUUGAUCUUUAAUUGUAAAAGUUUAGUAACAUAUCUUGAAUUUUUUUAAAUUUUUUUAUUUUUUUAAUGAACACAUAGGAUUAGUAAUAUAUCUUGAAUUAGUAAUAAAUUUCUCUUAUAUUUCACAUAUUAUAUCUCACAUAAUAUUUUUGCCUUUAAUUUUGAUAAAUCAUUAUCAGAUUGGUGGAACUGACAACCAAUACCAACCUGAAACAUCAUUUUUUCAGAUUCCAAUUAGUAUAAUAAAUGAUUCUAAUCAACAAUAUUUCAAUACACUUCAUAUGAAUCAUUCAUCAUAGGGUUCAACAAAAAUCACAGAGGAAGGGAAUCAUUAUAAAAAGAUUUGUUAUACUAUUUUACUUUCUUAAAUUAACAAUAUUUACGUAUUGUUAUACACAAUCUUGAAUGCAAUAAAUCAUUUAUUUUUUUAUUCCUAGUUAUUCUGUUUUGCUAUCAUGCAGUGAUAAUGGAAAAUCAAUAAAUGCUGAUUUGCACGGACAAAUCAAGGAGAAUAUUCAAACAAAAGAAAAACAAAAACAAGUUUCUGAAGAGUAGAAUAUUAUUUGAUAUUAUUUACUGCACUUUUUAUUUAUUUUCAAGUUUUUGAAUAUUAUAGUAUUGUCGAAUGUUAUUUUUUUCAUUUUUGAAUUAUUAUUUACUGAAUUAGAUAUUCAAAUUUAUAUUAUAAGAAUACUUUAUAUUACAAUGCGCAUAUAGUAAUAUACUUAAGAAAAAUUAUAAUAAAAUAUACAUUAAGUUUGUAUUUCAUAUCGAUAUUUUUAUAAAAUUGACUAAAUAUUUUAUUAUUUUUUAAAAAUUCCCCGUUCAACGGGUACAAAACUAAUUUAAAUACUAAAGUCAUCAUUAGCCAACGUCUCGUCUCUCCAAUUUUACGCGCUAUUUCACUAUUUGUACCAAAAAACAGGAGACGUUGGCGGGGCAAUUGCCUGCUAUUAUCGACUUUUCAAUUUACUUUUUUUUUUCUUUUUAAUUAGUAGCAAUGAUCUGCUAUUAUCCAGUUUUCAGCAAUUUUAAGGUCUACUUGCAUGGUUGGAGAAAACCUUCAGCGCCUGAGCACAUUCAGGCCAGUCGAAUCACUCCUUCGUGUUACUUUUUAACAUGGCAAGCUAUGAGAUUUAGCAUCACAAUAAUAUGAAUUCAUGCAAUCUUCAACUUGCAUGACGCGACGCGUAAGCAUCGUCAGUCAGAAGCAAACUAUGACCACGCAAGGACAAUAGCCCAUCCUAAGCCUUCUUAGGCUUGGUGGUACGGGAGGUCAAGGGUUCGAAUUUUACUUCCCACAAAAUUUAUCAUAAUAUGUGAUCGUUUUUAUUGACCAGUUUCGAUAGAGUUUCUACUCCCAUCGAAUUCCCUUCCCCUCUCUCCUAGAAGCUAGAAUAGGUUAGCUUAAGUUAUAGGAAUUCUAUCGUAUCGAUAAAAAAAAUAAGGACAAUAGCCAAACAUUAAACCCCCGCAAAACACGUGCCUGCUCAUCAUGGAGUUUUUUUUAGGAUUCACCGACCGUCUCUUUUGUGGGUUCCAUCGGAAAGAAACUUGAUUCAGUUUUUUGAUUGGAUACACGCGCUGUUUAAUUAAAUUAAUGAUCAUUCUUUGGAGAUUUGCCAUUGUGAAUGUGGUUGAUUUGGAAAUCCAGAAAGGAACUUCACUCAAAAUGUUAUCAUCAAAGAUCAAGUGUCAAUCACAAGUCGAUUGUAACCUAAUUAAUUGUUGAACUAUCCAAACCCGUCCGCUAAAGCGUGUGACGAACUUUAAAUGGAUUUUAACAAGUAUUCAAUUAAACCAUUUAAUUGAUAAAUAGUGGACCGAUUCGACGCGUCCAUUUAUAAUCAUUUUAAAAUAAUUAUACACUUAAACUCAAAUAUUAAUGAGUUUCAAACAAAAAUACAUUUGAAUUUUCUAUCAAUCUAAUAAUAAUAAAAUAUUACUAGUUCUUAUCAAACAAUGCGUGAAAAAGUAAAAAAAUUAACAAGUAAAAAUUUCAAGUGAAUUAAAUGGAUAAUUAAAUAUUACCUAUGCCUAUUUAUUAAAUAAAUAUAAAUAAAUUGACUCAAAUUAGUUGACCCAAUUAUACCAGUUUGAAUCACACAUUUUAACACCUCCGCUUGUAACAUCUUUAAUUGCAUGGAGUAUAUGCUUCGUCAGUGAGAGAAGGAAAUUAAGAAGAAAAUGCCACGAGUCAUGAAACCUCGGGCUGGAUUAAGAACUUUAUCGAACUCACUUCAUAAAAUUACAUACAAAUGUUCGCAAGACAAGGGAGGAAAAACGUCAAACUCAGAAAAUAACACAACCGAUUUGCAUCUGGGGUUACUAACGCAAAGGCGAGCAACGACAGAUGCAAACAUGGUAUCUUCCAGAUCAACGAUAUUCUGCUACAUAAAACCAAAGUUAAACAGAAACUUGGACACUUUUCAAGUACAUCAAUCCAGAGAAAACCAAAACUCUCAUUACUUCCAUAGCUUUCGCAAGGACAUAUUUUUCUCCGUCUCCUUUUUCAUCACCUUGGCAACAGCCAUCUCAAAAUCCUCUUGCGUCACAUGAACCCUCCUCUCCCUCAGAGCAAACAUCCCUGCUUCUGUACACACAGCCUGCAAUAAAGGGGCCAAUAAAGCUUAAGCGAACUUAAAAGCUGAUGCUGAGUAUCCUAUUCACAUCAAAGGGGAGAAAAAAUAGAGUAUAUAUGUAGAAAAAGAAUCAUGAAACGAGUAAAAUCUACUCGUUUGAUCUUUAAACUCAAAAUUAACUCAAAAUUGUCUCUCAAGUGCACAAUCAAUACAAAGCUGCCUAAACUCAGAUCACUGAAAUACAUGCUAAAGGUUUAACCAAAAGAAAAGUCAGAAAUAUCAAUUUCUCAACCCCCCACUCUAGCACUCGAAUACUCCUACAUUCAACUAAAGAAGUGGGAGAAAAAACCCAACCCAAUCAAUUCAGCUCAGCAUUGGUGUUGGACAGAGUUGAUAAACCAGAAAUUGGUUCUCACCUACACUCCAAUUGUCUAAGAGUUCUAACAAAAUCCAGUGGUACCACAUAACAUAAUUAAUAUAUGAAUAUGGAAUUCAUGUAUCAAUAAAUCUGAAAGUUGGCAGAUGUGCAAAAAUCACAAACAAAUCAUGGAUUGGAACCCAGAGCCUGACAGUUCACCAGUACCGCCUAUUGCAUUUAGCCAGACUUCCUAAUGACAACUACUUUGAAUGAAACAAGUUUCAUACACUUACAUCAGCUGAGGAUGCAGAAAGAGUCAAGUUAGAGGUACAGAUGCAACAUAAGCAACAAAAACAUGCAUCAUUAUUAUUAUAAAAAAAAAAAGAACCUGCCAGUUUCUUAGUAUACGACACAAGAAACAGAGGGUUAAGCACUAAGCAAAAAAUAUAGAAGCAGAUAGACUUGCACCUUCAAUUCUGCACCAGAUGCACCAUUCAUCUUUUCUGCAAUCUUCUUUAAGUCAAUCCCACGCAUUAAAUUCAUCUUUCUUGAAUGGAUUUUUAGAAUAUCGAACCGAGACUGCAAAGCAUUUCAGUACCAAAGUCAAUUGAUGAAAAGUUAUAAACAGGUUACUGAUGGAACUAACUACCAAAAUUAUUAUAAGUAAAACCAAGACAAACUCACUGAUAUGACAUGAAAAAACGAAGACCUAAAAAUUGUUGCUUUAGCAUGUGCAUCUAUGUGAAAGUACAAAAGAUACGCAAAAAUAGGAUAAAAAUGCAUUUUCUGAGAUUUCAACAGUUUAGACCAUGAAAGCAUCCAAAAGCAAUAUCUAACUGAGGAAAUUUCAACAAUGUUAGACUAGGAAAACACGCAAGGGCAUUCCCUAACUAUACAUUUCAUGAUUUGACUUCCCAGGAGGACUACAAAUGAAAGGCAGAAGAGAUCCAUCCUCAUGGACUGAAAUAUUUAUAAUGAGACAAGAAGCGUUUCAAUGAGCUAAAAAGCUGAAGAAGUAGACAAGAAAAAACACUUUCAAGGAUUCAGAACAUUGUCUAAAUAUCCACAUACCUCUUCAUUCGGAUUUGGAAAUUCUAUCUUCCGGUCAAUUCUCCCAGGUCUAAGGAGAGCUUGAUCCAAAAUAUCAAUACGAUUUGUGGCCAUCAAAACCUGAACAGGCAAAUUUUAACUACUACAGCACCAUGAACAUAAAGGAUAAACACAAAACUGAUAUUCAAUAAAGCGCCAAUGUAUGUAUUCACCUUGAUCUUAUUUGAUGCCUCAAAACCAUCAAGUUGGUUGAGAAGUUCCAGCAUCGUCCGCUGUACUUCACUGUCACCAUUGCCACUUCCAGAUUCCAUUCUCGCAGAACCAAUACUGUCUAUUUCAUCCAUAAAAAUGAUGGAUGGGGCAUGCUCCCUAUAAAACAACAAUAAAGCCCAAAAUAAGGAAAUUUAGUCCUUACAAUACACUGUUAAAAGUAAUCAUGAAACUGUAUCAUCCAGCAAAAGCCAUGCUUCAAUGGCAAAAAGCUUAAAGCAAAUGUCAAUAGGACCCCCCAAAAAAAAUCUUAAAAGGUAAGAGAUCCAGAGGUUUAUGCUUUCAACUGGUAGAUGACGUUUCUCAAUUCUCCUGAACAAUGAGAAUAUUUUUUGUGGGUGUCUGGAUCACUUUGCCCCAUUGCAACAGAGAAAUUUAAGAGCUGCUAGUAGGCAUUCACUUUGCAAUACACAAUACAGCCCUAUGCUAUAAUCAUGUAAAAUAAGUUAACGCAAUUAUGAUUAAAAUCUGAUACAGAUAAAUUGGAAGAGUCAAUCCUUCUUGUAUUUCAUUUUUUUCGACUCCACGCGAAUUUUUCUAUAUUUCUAAUUAAACUUUCUUUUUUCCUCUGUUGUCUAUAGGAGAACAAUCUUGUUUCAAAUGCCAAUUCUAAGAUCCAGCCUACAACACAAUCAUCUGCUAGCCAAAAGUUCACAAAUUAACAUUUUACUCCAAUGCAUAUAAUUUGCAGUCUCCCACAACCUGCUGGCCCAAAAAAGGUAACAGUUUGGAUGUUCAUUCUUGUGACACUAAAAUACUCGUGUACUUCUUUGAUUGAUGGAAAAACCUUGCAUCAUACGUAAUAUCUCAAAAUAAUACCUAAUAGCAAGUAAUGUUCCAAUAAAUCAUCACACAACAAUCUUAAAUGCUGGAUCCUACCCCACCUUUUCCUUAGCUUCUUUCAACCAACUUGGUUUCCACAUUUAGAAGAAAUGUUGCAGAAAACAAGGAAAAUGAGCAUAUAGCCACUUCAGUGAAAUGAAAAUUCAAGGAUAUUAAAAUGAAGCAGCAAGUUUUGCAACCAACCUGGCCAUGACAAAAAGUUCCCUCACCAUUCGGGAACCUUCCCCAAUAUAUUUUUGCACUAGUUCAGAACCAGAGACCCUGAUGAAAGUACAAUCAGUAUGAUGUGCGACUGCCCUGGCCAACAGUGUUUUCCCAGUUCCUGGAGGUCCAUAAAGUAGGACUCCCUGCCAUUUAAAAAAUAAAAGAGAGAGCAUGAGUAGAAAGUUAAAUUAUCAUAAAGGCAACAUAUUCAAAUAGCUAGGCUACAAAUUAGCACCUUGGGUUGAGCUAUCCCAAGACUCUCAAAUAACUCAGGAUGUUUGAUUGGAAGCUCAAUAACCUGGAAUGCAACAGGAACAGAAUGCAAAGAAAUCAAUUAUCCAAUAACAUCAAAAUUACAACGUUCAUCUAUGAUAAUUUCCAAAUAUUUCAAAUGGAAAGGGAAAAACCUCCUUAAUCUCUUUGAUUUGCUGGUCAAGACCGCCAAUCAUGUCAUAUGUAGAAUCAGGAACUUUUUCAACUUUCAUGAGAUUGACUAACGGAUCCACUUUGCUGGGCAAAAUUAAAUGCAGGACAUAGCUGUCAUUUCGGAGAGCAACUCUGGUUGAUGGAGUGAUCUUUGUAAUGUCAAUGUUUUUAUCAAUAUCAACCACAUAUUUUCCUUCUGGAUGGACCUGAUGGGAUAUACAAUCAGGAAAGCGUAAGCAUUGAACUCCGUCUAUUAAUUUUUUGUUUGCUUUCUUUUUGUGUUUUGGAUUCUUCAAAAGAGAGGUUACAAGAACACAAGGAAACUUACUUUAACUAGAACUUUAGAUUUCCCCAUUACUUUGACAACUUCACCCACAUAAGAUCCAGGCUCCUGCAGUAGUUGCAACUCCUCCUUGAGCAUUCUCACUGUCAUUUCAAGUACAGAUAAAACAAUAACUGGUAAUUCAAUAUUUAAAACUGCAAACUUGCACGAAUCACAUGUUGAACGAUAAGCAAAAAUCAGAAUUAGUCAUGAUUCGGACAGCUUGAAUAGAAAACAGAAUUCAUAGUAGCCAUCUCUUCGUAAAAGUAAAUAAAGGGAUAAAAGAGCUAGCUUAUGCUUAAAAUACAAAAAGUUGUUCAAGUAAGCAUUAACUAAAGGAAGAAUCAUAUAUUCCCACAGGUUUACUAAAAUAUGACGACGUUUGCACUCAACUCAACUCUUCCGUCCCAAAUCCUCUUAUUUACUUAAACUAGAUAGACAGGUGUCUACAUCACACAUGAGGACAGCUUCCAACCAUGGAUACAAGCGCUACUAGGUACUAAAAGAACAAACUAUUCAUGCCAGAGAACAAUAAUGAAAGUCCUCUGUGCAUAUAAUAAAAGGGCAUAGUAAAUUUAUAUUGCUCUCUGUCAAUUCUAAUAUCCCAAACCCCAAUAACAUCAUCAAGCUAAAAAACCUUGCUAAUCUGAUUUAGAUGAUUUUCAGCUAAGGACCUCUGUGCAUAUGACAAUCAGUUGAUCCAGCAUAUGUAAUCCGAUCCAAAACUCAGGUCCUUGCCAACCCCUGCCUAUUACUUUUGAGCUCUUUAUGAUGUGGGUCAAGUGUUCAAAACCAUAUCCAAACUACUUCUCUGUAAAGGAAAGUACCUUAAAAGAAUCCCAAAAUGUAAAAAUUUCACACACCGCUGCGUCUACGGAACUGAACUUUGCCAAUCACCUAACCCAAGGUUCUCAAGAUUCAAACUUUGCCAAUUCGAGACCUAAAUCCACUUUGUGCAUUGCCAAAAUAAAUCACAAGCUGUGCACUCCAACAAAUCCCCAGAUAAUACCUCCAACAUUCUGCGAAUUCGUCAACAACAUUAUUUAAAAUACGUGUAUAGCCCUCCCCCACCCCCACCCCCCCAGCCCAAGGCACCUUACUGCGAAGGCAUAGUGCGGGACUAGCAAAUUGUGUAGAUUUUGAAAAAAAAAAAUCAACUAUUAAGCUAGGGUUUUUAACUAUUUGGGUAAACGAAAAGCAAGCAAUGAACUGGAAGUGGCAUUGGCAACCUUUAGAAUUGAGCUCGUUGCGUUGGGCUUCGAGACGGUUGAGAUUGUGGGAUUUCUGGCGGACCUGGAGCUGAAGAUCGUGGAUAUGUUGGAGAUAAUACUGCCGCAAGCCCUCGCCUUGCUUCACCAUCAUCGUACCCUUGCUCGAACAGCUCUCUUCUCUCUCUGCUCCACUUCGGUUCUUCUCUACCUCUGCUGUAGCCAUUUUAUUAAAGCUUCUUUGGUAGCUUCGAUUUUAUCGGAUUUUGAUGAUAGGUGAAUUGGGGAUUCAAUUGCACCAGAAUGACGAUCGAUUUCCUCUGAACUCUGGUAUUGUUUUUUUCCUUUUUCCUUGCCCUAUUUAUAAAUACGGAUAAAUCGGGCGGGUCGAUAGGGUGCGGAUUUCCUAUUGGGUCUUGGAAGACAACAAACGAAUUCAGAAACCCAUUCGGGUCUUGGAAUACAACAAACCAAAAGUUUGGCUCGUUUCGUAAAUGAUUUUUUCUCAUAUUUGUCUAGAAUUUUACUGGAGCCACAACUAACAAGUUGUAAUACGUAACAGCUAAUUUGUUUAGUUUCCGUAAAAGAAAUGUUAAAAAAUAAUAGAAUUUAUACAUAUCAAGACUAUUUUUUUUUAAUUUUUAAACAAUGCUAAGACUUUUUCUUUUCUAAGUGAAGGCUUUAAAUUAAAAAAUUUUCAAUUAUAUUUUUUUCCCACCACCCAACUCAAUCAUUUUUUUUACAUGUGAGAACUUAUGCCACUCUAAUAGCAAUUUUUAGCGAACAAGAACAAUUCAUUAGGAUAUAGAGAAACAGAGCCAGUAUAUAUUUAAAAGGAAUUUCAAUAAAAUUUUAAAUUAUAAAAAUAUUUAAAAAUAUAUUUUAAAAAAAUUUCUAAAAAUAAUUUAAAAAUAUUUACUGUAAAAAUUUUUCAUAUACAAAAUUAUAAUAAAAUUUUAAAAAAUACCUUCAAAAACAGUUAAUUCGAGUGGAGCCAAUAAGAGCCAUGAACCUCCCAUAAAAAGCCUUGCCCCGGCCAGAAUUUGACCCUGCGCCUAGCCCGGUCACCCGCUCGCCUCUUUCUCAGUUCUUUCUUUCCCAACCCUUGAUCUCCACAAUUUUGAAAAUCUCCAUCUACAGCCGAGCUAACAGGGAGGGGCUAGGAGGUGCGGAUUCCCUUUCCUGAAUCCCACUUGUAUUCCAUAUACCGCCAGAUUCACGUACAUUUAAAUCUUAUACACCACCAGAAUUUUCUUUCUCAUUUCUUACAACCUUGUUUAAUUGCAGCUGUCUUUUUUUUUUUCCCUUUUAUAUUUUGUUAAUUGUAAUUUUGGCAGCUCAACAAAACAUUGCAUUCAAAAUAAUUUUAAAAAAUCUUUUCCGUAUUUGCUAGAAUAUAUAUCAAUCAAAUAAAUAAAAUUUUAGAUUAAAAACGGUAGAUAUACAUAAAUAGCUGAGGUAUUUUGUUGAACAUAGUAGAAUUUGUAUUUGGGAGAAAUGGAUAAGAAGAGAGUGGCGGUGCCGUUGGUUUGCCACGGCCAUUCGCGCCCCGUCGUUGAUUUGUUCUAUAGUCCUGUCACUCCAGAUGGCUACUUCCUCAUCAGUGCCAGCAAAGGUUUGCACUUUUUUUUUUUCGGUUUUUCCUAAGUUUUUAUUCACAUUUUACAUAUAUGCGAGAGAUUCAACGUAUCUGUUGGUACAUACGUUGGAUAAUUAUACUGAGAUUAUUUUCAUUCCGACAAUCAAUUGUUUCUUGUUAAAUUUCUUGAGAUUCUAAAAUACUUCCUCCCGCCCCCCGAGUAGAAGGCUCUGAUCAUGCUGAUACUCGUGUCUAAUUACCGUUGAUGUACAGUUUCUUGAGUACUUUUGUCCAUUAUCUGUCAGCAGUGUAAAUUAGGACGAUCAUUGUGAAUUACUAGAAGCAACUCUAGGUUUUGAUUGCUUCCUUAUUUUGGCAUUGAGUGAAAGGAGUAUUGUCUGAGAAGGGCACCUUAAUCGAACCAGCAUAUGUCAAUGUUCAAUGGCUUGUUUGCUUAUAAUUUUUCAAGCAGUUAGUUCCGGUAGGAGUAAGAUAUGAGAGUUUAUCUUAGUUGUAUUUCAUUGUUGUAAAGAACCCUGUUUUCUGCACUUUCAUACUUCUAGUUGAUUAGUAUAUCAUAUUUCGUUCGUAUAUUCCAGAUUCCAAUCCUAUGCUUAGAAAUGGUGAGACUGGAGAUUGGAUUGGAACAUUUGAAGGGCAUAAAGGUGCAGUCUGGAGUUGCUGCUUGGAUACAAAUGCUUUUCGUGCUGCUACUGGUUCUGCUGACUUCUCUGCGUAUGUAACAUGCUCCUCAAUACUCUUGCAAAGCGAACCAAACUUGCACACUGUUGAUAGUCGCUCAAGAAAUUAUAUGCAUUUGUCUUGAUGUCUUUCGGUCUUCUUGUCAUCUCCUGCAUUUAAGAACAAGGGUGGUAUUGGCUCCAUUGAUCAGCAUUCAAUUGAUUGCCUUGUACAAUCUGGUUUAUUGUGAUACAGAAAAAUCUGGGAUGCUAUAACUGGGGACAUACUGCAUUCUUUUGAGCACAAGCACAUUGUUCGAGCCUGUGCUUUCUCAGAGGUACAUCUUUGAGUCAUUUCCUGUAUAAACACUUUCUUGCCAUCAAUUCAUGCUCUUCUUAGAAUUACUUCCUUUUCCUGGAAUAGGAUACCAAUUUUUUACUUACUGGAGGAGUUGAGAAAGUUCUUCGAAUAUAUGAUCUGAAUCGCCCUGAUGCUCCUCCUAGAGAAGUAGACAAGUCUCCUGGCUCUGUCAGAACUGUUACAUGGCUCCACAGUGAUCAGACAAUUUUAAGUUCUUGUACGGAUAUGGGAGGGGUCAGGUAUGCUUGUACCAUAGAAUUCGGUGUACUGAAAUCUUUGGUUCUUGGGUUUUUAAAGUUUCAGAUCCUCAUUUCCAUUUUAUUAGAUAGAUUUCAUAGUUCACACUAUGAAAAUUGAAGUUAGCGUGUAUGUUGAGGUUAGAGGUGGAAGUUUGAAAAUAAGAUAAGCUUUAUUGCUAUAACCUGGUAUUUCAUUUACUUUUUUGUCCGUACUUGUUUUUCGUGUUUCAGAUUCUCUAUAAUGUGUUUGAGAUCUUACAGGAGGUUGAAGCUUAUCUUCUAAUGGUUUAUUUCCCAUUUCAGAUUAUGGGAUGUCAGAACUGGCAAAGUAGUCGAAACACUAGAGACUAAAUCACCCGUGACUAGUGCUGAAGUUAGUCAAGAUGGUCGAUACAUUACAACUGCUGAUGGUUUCAGUGUGAAGUUCUGGGAUGCAAAUCAGUGAGUUCAACGAAAAUCAGAUGCAUUUGUCUUGAUUCUGCGGGCCUAACUUCUAGUCACAUGUGUUUUCUUGUUUUGCAGUUUUGGAUUGGUUAAGAGCUACAACAUGCCAUGCACCGUAGAGUCAGCUUCUUUGGAACCCAAAUAUGGUUUCAAAUUUGUUGCUGCAGGAGAAGACAUGUGGAUUCGUGUUUUUGAUUUUCAUACUGGUGACGAGAUAGGUACGUCAGUAAAAUAAACGAGAUUUAGAGUGAACCAACUUCAGAUUUUGGACCGCAUAUUACAAAAUUAUGAGACAUGGAUUGUAAUAUGAAAAGAAUGUCGGGGCCUCUAGGCAGAGAUAUUAUUUUCUCAUUGACCCUUGACCUUCUAAAUCCUGGCCUCGCUGGUUGCUUUACAGGCUCCUUGUAUCCCAUGUUGCGUCUGAUUUUCUUUUUGUCCUGUUUCAAUUAGUUGAUGUACAUGUACUAACCUGACGCUUGAAGGUUUAGGGAAUACAUCCUUGGUUGGUCUCCAGUUUCACGCUAAGUAUUUAUCUUUUGGGUGCAGCAUGUAACAAGGGUCACCAUGGUCCUGUGCACUGUGUUCGCUUUGCACCAGGCGGGGAAACAUAUGCCUCAGGAUCUGAAGAUGGAACAAUCAGAAUAUGGCAAACAGGGCCACUGAUUAAUGAUGAGAGUGAACCUAUUGCAGCAAAUGGUGGAACAGGAAGGGUGAAGGUUAGUGCAGAUGAAGUUUCCCGCAAAAUUGAGGGGUUCCACAUUACAGAUGAGGGAAAGUCCAGGGAGAAAGAAGAGAUGGAGAACGCCUGAGGGGCUGAUGAUAUCUGUGUUGGUUGGGAUGUCAAAUGCCACGUACAAAGAUUCCUCCUCUGUCGGAUGUCAGUCUAAUUGUCUUUCCUUUGCCUCUAGGCAGGAUAUCUUUAGUUUAAAUUUGCGGAUCUGCUCUCUUAAGAACAGCUAUUGUGGUAAACCCGCGACCAUUGCUUGGUGCACUUAGUUAUUGUCUGUAUGUAUAUCAAGGCUUCGCUGGAAGCUAGCUACUACAUGACUGGUGAUGAUUCAUUAGAAAUGUGCUUGUACGGCGCGUUUAUAAAAUGUGGGUUAUGUUCAUUACCUUUUGACCGCACUUGUUGGGAUUGACGUGAGAGUUGUGGUAUUUGGAAAUUCUUGAAGUUUUGCAGUUAUUUCAUGACGGUUCAAGGGAUGAUUGGCACUUUAGUUUACACCACUUCCCGUGAGCAUGGUGGGCCUGUACUCAAAUCGAUUAUUUUAACAGAUUAUACAUUUUGAUUACGAGUAAUCAGUUUUUGUGAUGUUCUCAAUUACUUUUAUAUUCUGAUUGUAGAUUUCAUAAUGAUAAAAAAAAAUAUAACUUAUAUAAUUACCUAAAAGGUUGCUUUCAUUGAUGUUGAUUAUUCUCUGUAAUCAGAUUUUGUAAAAUCUAAAGCAAUCAAGAUAAAGGCCUAUGUCUGUACCAGUUUCUCAAGUAUUUCCAGUUUUAAGUUAAGCAGCUACAGUUGCGGAAGUUAGUAUAUGGUGAAGCGUGUUUUAAUCCAAGUGUGAUUGACUAACCUUUUCCUUUUCAAGCUAUUUGGGAGUUUAGGAUAGAAAAGAGACGAACGGAAAACUUUAGUUAUGAGAGAAGAGAAGGGAUUGUUGUGUUGUUUGGGAGUUUUGAGAAUUAGUGGAAUGAUUUUGGAUAUAAAAAUCAUUAAAUAUUUGUUCAAGACAUUUUUAAGGAUAAAAUAGAUAUUUUAAAAAACUUUCAUAAGUUUCCUCCAACUUUCUCUCUAAUUUGGGAGAAAAACUUUUACUUACUAUUUAUCCUCUUAAAUCCUUCCAUUUCUCUUCUUUUCUUUCCUAAUAAAAACUAACAAACGAAGGAAAUGUUCGCUUUCUCUUCUUUCGCCUUCUUUUCUCUCCAAAUCAUUCACUCCCAAACGAACCCUAAAAGUUAACUUCUUCUAUCUAACCUUUAAUUCUUGUAAAGGUUUAGCAGAGAUUUUUAGCAACGUAAUGCGGCUUUAAAAAUUCUAGAAAUUCUUAAAAGCUGGACAAUUUGAAAUUGCCUUAUCUACUGAACGAGCCAAAACGGGUUAUACGAGUUCAAGAGCCGAAGAUUUCUUUACUGUUUUAGGGCGAUUUGGUAAAGUUAGAAAGGUAACACGAGUUAAAUAUGUGUUGAAAUUUCCCGACAGACCAACGUUGUAAGGAAAGAGGGAGGGGGAUUUUGAGUGAUCCUUAUCCAGCUGCCUGCCCUGGGAACAGAAGAGGUAAAAAGCAAUCUCGUCUGGAGUACCCGUGGUGUACACGAAAUUACCCUUUUACCCUCAAUGGCAGUGAAUGCAAAGCGGACAGUUGUGCAAAUUCCAACGAAAUUCAGGGUAACCUAAAUACGGCAUCCCCCCUUAAUGACAACUCCAUUACUGCGCGCGCCUCGCGCGUUAACUUUCCUCCUCUCCUCUCUUUCUCUCCGUCUUCGACUGGACUGCCUGCUGCCUCGUUUGUGACUUGUGAGUUGCGACCCGUCGAUCAAAACCCGAACCGGAAGCUCCAAAAAGCCUCUUUUUCGUUCUCAAGCCUUGAUAAAAACUGAAAGCCCUUCCAAUCGGUUGGAGGGAUUUGGCGGGAAAAAAUGUCGGGAAAAGGCGCCAAGGGCUUGAUAACCGGCAAGAACUCCUCCGCGUCCGCUGCGGCUAACAAGGACAAAGACAAGGACAAGAAGAAACCUACUUCUCGUUCCUCUCGUGCCGGCCUCCAAGUACUUUUUCCCAACCCUUUUUUUUCGUUUUUUUUUUAAAAAAAGAAAAAAAAACCGAAUUCCUGACUACCCUUCCGAAGCAAGUUUUGUGUUCUUCCCUUCCUGUUUUGUUUUUCAAUUUUCUUAUUGAUUUCUUCCUUUUGCAUGGUUUUCUUAUUUGUUUAUUUGGGUUUAAGAUUUGUUCUUUUACCAUAUGAUAUGAAGGCCCUGACCCUGCAAAAAUACACAAAGUUAUGCAUGCGGAGAUUCUGCGGUUAUUUACAUGAUUAUUGGGCUUUUAAUUGAUUUUAAAGGUGCGAUAAAUUGAUUAAAAACUAUAAUAUUGUGGGAAUAAGCCCGUAGAUUUACUCUACUUCUGUGCAUUUGAAUGAUUAGUUUAUAGUUUCUACCUAGGAAUUUUAGAAAGUUGUGAGUUUAUUUCACUACUAUUUUUAUUUUUGGGAAAAUCGAAGUAAUGGUGCUCAUUGUUAUGGAUUUGUAAAAUGUCUUAUUCAUGUGGUAAUACAAUCUAAUGCUAUGUGAAAAAUGAAACUAUUAAAAGAGGAAAGGAAGAAAAAGAGAAGAAUGUUCUAUUCUUAAUUUCAAAGUCAGUGAUGCUUUAUCAGUAAAACUCAAAUGAUCAAAAAUAAAAGGAGAUAAGAUCAUUGGACAGUUUACAUGUUACUCUUCCAUGAUCCACAUGCCCAGCAAGUAAGAGACAAAAAAAGAUGUUUGGUUGAAAUGCUCAAAUCAGUUUUGUCGGUUUGUUCUAGAAGUUGAACUUGUUUUGUAAGUAUUCAAUAACCAUAUUAGUCUUUACCCAACUGCGGAUGGUUCAGGAACAUAUCAACCCGGUUCUUGUUCAUAUGGAUCUGUGUGACAUGAAUAACUUUCUUUUGUUACCUCUUCUUCUUCUUUUUCUUCUUUCUUUGGCCAUUAUGUGCCCUCCACUCAUGCAAGAUAGGAUAACUAUUGAGAGCCAGGAAGAAAUCAAACUGAAUUUCUUCAUCUUAGUAUUUUCUUCCUCUCUUUUGCCGUUCCCUUCUUCUUAAUGACUAGCAAAUGUAAAAUUUCUUAUGUAUUUGUUUACUGUUUAGCAGUGAUAUUUUGUUGCAUAUUCAUGUUUAUGAACACACUGAAAGUUUUCUGACUGUUGGGAACAUCUGUAUGUCUUCUUCUUGUUUGGUUAUUGUUUUUGAUAUCGUGUACUUGCUUUAAGUUUUUCUUCCCACCCCCCCCCCCUUCCCCUCUUUCAUGUUUAAUGAGAAAUUAGGGUUCUUUGUGGUUAUGGAGUAAUUCUUUAACUUGUCUACUUUUUCAAAGGUCAUUUGUUAGUUGGAUAUAUUGUUUUCUUGGUUCUAAAUGUUUGUACUAGCUGUUAUUUGCUAAGCCGAAUGUGAUGUGUUAGCUAACCAAUUCUCUUAGUGAAAUGACUGUAUAUCGCAUUUGACUGCAGUUUCCAGUUGGUCGGAUCCAUCGUUUACUGAAACAGAGGACAACAGCACAUGGGAGAGUGGGUGCAACAGCGGCAGUCUACUCUGCAGCUAUCUUGGAGUAUUUGACUGCUGAAGUGUUGGAGCUUGCUGGCAAUGCAAGUAAGGAUCUUAAGGUGAAACGUAUUACUCCAAGACAUUUGCAGCUGGCAAUUCGAGGUGACGAAGAACUCGAUACACUGAUCAAAGGAACCAUUGCUGGUGGAGGUGUGAUUCCGCACAUCCACAAGUCACUUAUCAACAAAUCAUCCAAGGACUAGUUUCCAACGGAUGGUGGAUUUCUUUUAGUUGAGAGAAUUCACUUUCAGAAGACUGGCUGACUUAACCCUGUGUCACUUUGCUUGUGCAUCUAAACUCGUCUGCAUGAAUUCUAGCUGGUUCUUAGAUGCUGUAGACGUGGUUACAAUUAUAGGCUAUUAGGAUCGUGUCUUUGUCUUUAUAUUCUGGCGGAUUUGAAUGUGUAAAUAAAGCCAUGUUUCUCAAGUCUGUUAUAUUUGUGCUUUUCUAUAUAUUCCGGUGCCAAGACUGUUUCCUGAUCGUUGCAUGUACUGGCAGACUUAACUAACCUCAAAAUUCAUUAGAGAGAUUGGUGUGCUAUUAUUUUCUGAGCUCAGUCAUUUCGAUCCUGAGCGAGCUAAAAAUUAGGGCACUAGCGUUGCUAUUCUUCCUGAACUUGGUCAUUUUGGUCCUGAGCGAGUUGAAUAUUAGAGAUCUAAUGUAACAAUAUUCCAUACGCUUAAAUCCUAAUCUGGUCUCUAGUUUUCUAAGACCUUUUUCUGAAUCAGACGCUUCCCUACUGAGUACACAAAAUGGUUGUGAGAGCAUAAACCGAAGACUACUUCUUGCCCUACUCGCAGUUUAGAAUAGGGGUGCAAACGAGUCGAGCCGAUUCGAGUUUUGAUCUUAUCGAGUCAAGUCUUGACUUAAUUUCAUCGAGCUCGAGCUUGACAAGCUAGUAAUUUGCAAGUUCGAGCUCGAAUUCGACUCGAUUUGAGCCGAGCUUGAGUUCGAGUUCGAGCUCGAAAAAAAUAAAAAAUAAUUAUUUUAUUUUUUAAAAAAUAAAUAAAAUAAUAUUUUUAAUAAAUAAUAAAAUAUUAAAGAUAUAUAUGUAAUUUUAUUAUUAAAAAUAAAAAUAAAAAAUUUCGAGUUGAGCUUGAGUUCGAACUCGAAAAAAAUAAAAAAUAAUUAUUUUAUUUUUAAAAAAAUAAAUAAAAUAAUAUUUUUUUAAAUAAAUAAUAAAAUAUUAAGGAUAUUUAUGUAAUUUUACUAUUAAAAAUAAAAAUAAAAAUAAAAAUAAAAAUAAAAAAAAUAUAUAUAUUCGAGCUCGCGAGCCACGAACUUAAUGUUUUGAACUCGAGCUCGAACUCGACACUGGCUCAACCAAUAUCGAGCUCGAGUCGAGCUUGAAUCGAGCCGCUCGCUCGAUUCGUUUGCACCUCUAAUUUAGAAGCACCGUAUCGUGACAAAAGGUGCAGCUUAUGGUUGUACCAGUAAUAAUACACGCACAAAGAGAUUCCGCCAGGUAAAGAGGGUUAAGAACGCAAUCUUGACAUGCUCAAAUGUCUGAGUCACAGAGUUGGCCAAAAGGAAAUGCCAAACCAUCUCUAACGAUGUUCUCACUGAUCCACGUCCUGAACUAGGGAUCAGAACCUUUUGUCUGAACUCAUGUACAUUGUUGAUGGCUAAGUCUUAGAGCUUUGGAAUAAUAAAACCCCAGUCAAUCGCCCCCUUCAUAUAAGUAAAAGUAACUAAUCUAGACCAGAACAUAACAGAAAAACUAACGAUGGCAACCUCUAGACUAACAGAACUGAGAAUAUGCUCAAUAUCAUCUGCGAACCUCAAAUGUCUGCUACCUUUGGAACCUCCACGGGAAACUUAUCAAUCUCAGACAUCCAGGGGUUUUUUUCCUUUGCAGGCUUCACAGUUCUGAGGGCCUUCCAUACAGCACUGUUGCACUUGAAACCUGAACCAAAUGCUAUUUGCCAUACUCUGUGUCCUCUUUUUACUCUUCCCUUGGCUUCCGUGUAAGCCAAUUCAUACCACAGAGAACUGCUUGAGGUGUUGCCAAAUCGAUGCAGUGUCAUUCUUGAUGGCUCCAUAUGCCAUUCAGAUAGCUGCAAAUUCUUCUCCAGUUCAUCCAGGACGGCUCUACCUCCAGCAUGAAUGCAGAAAUGGUCAAAAGCUAGUUUAAAAUCGGGGAUGUAAGGCUUGAGCUUCAUCUUGAAUAGUUUCUUCCCAACUAGCGUAGCAAAGAAAAGCAAUUGUUCCGACAUUGGGAGAACAAGAGGUCCUAGAGUAGUGAUAUUGGUCUUCAAUGCAUCACCAGCUACAGCCAUGAGCUCCUUUGAUAAAGAAACUCCAAUCUUUCCAUCCGCGUCUUCUUCUUGAAAGACACAGGCAUAGCACUUAUCAUCAGCACCCUUGUGGGUGCGAACAGUGUGAACCAAUUGAUACUUCGAUCUUCUUUUUUCCGAGAAUUUGUUGGAAAGUAGUAUUGCGGCACCUCCCAUUCUGAACAAACAAUUGGAUACAAGCUUCGAUCGGUCAUUUCCAAAAUACCAAUUCAGAGUGAUGUUCUCCAUGCUGACGACCAAGGCAUAUGAGUUUGGAUGGAACUGAAGGAGUUUUUUAGCUAGGUCAAUAGAAAUUAAACCUGCACUACAUCCCAUGCCGCCUAAAUUAUAACUGGCUACGUUCCCUCGAAGUUUAUAAUGAUUAAUUAUCAUUGCAGACAAAGAUGGAGUUGGAUUGAACAAGCUACAGUUGACAACCAAAAUUCCAAUGUCUUUUGCUUUUACCUUAGUCUUUGCCAAAAGCUCAUCGAUGGCACCAAACAUAACAGCCUCGGCCUCUUUUCUAGCUUCUUUCAUUGAUGGAUUUGGAGGUAUCUUAAGGACAGCCUCAGGAAGAUAAGUGUUAUCUCCAAGGCCAGACCUUUGAAGGAUUUUCCUUUGAAACUCAAGAUUCUCUUUUGCGAAUGAGCCAACCAUUUCGGACUGAUCUAUGAAAGUCUUCAUUGUGCAUCUUUGAGCUUCAUCAGGCUUGUAGCAGGAGAAAUCAACAAGGUAAACUGGACGAGGACGAGUGAGGAAAUAGAUGGUCGAUAUGAAAACUAUGAGACUUGAGCACAGGAUCACCGAAAUGAGGUUAUACUGGAGAUUAUCCCAUAGCUCGUAAAGAUCAGGGAGAGACCAGGUGGACAUUUGUGCUGCAAUUACAAUUACAAAGGGGGUAAUGAACAGGUACAUUGCAUGAGUGAUAAGGUAGUGAUAACCAAGUUUGACAUAUUUCAACUUGAUUGAUUUCUUAUAAUCUGGAAAUUUCCCUGAUGAAGGGGCGAGCAAUGGCGCCUUUGUCUUUGUUUCUUCCAUUAUUUUCCUGCUCAAACAUAACAAGAAUUGGUGAGAUAAGCAGAAACAUUUUAGAGAAGACAAAAACAGACAACUGAGAGAGAGAAGAAAAUGAUCUAGAGUUGAUUCCGAUUGAGAAUUUCUGGAGAAUACUGUGUCUCAUAAAGCGUACUUGACAAAAUGUGAGCCAAAGCAUUGAAAAAAAGAGAAAACCAAUAAUUUGUUGGGAGACUACACAAUUGCAGGGAAAUACAUUCAUAUUGUUCCGAGAGAAGGUCAUGACAGAUUUUCCAACUUAUCAACCUAAAUGCAGUUCUAUUGUAGUUGUAAAGUAGCCACAAUCUGGUUCCACAGAAAGAGACAGAGGAAAAAAAAAUAUAUGUAUAUCAACCGCAAUAAUCAAGAGGACAGGCAGUUAAAUCUGGUCGAAAAAAUGUGUAUAUCAACCGCAAUAAUCAAGAGAUCAGGCAGUUAAAUCUGGUCGUUUCUGUAUAAAUCCGUCUGCUGACACUUGACAGAUCAAAUUGAGCUAAAUAUCAAUAACCAAUCACCAUGCAUAAAACCCUCACAAUGAAAUCUGUUGUGAAGUAGAUCGGAUACACCGCUGAAGUUGUUAAUUUUAAAACAAAACCAGGAUUAGAAGUUCAAACAUAAAAUAAAAUAUUAUUUGAAGCAUCAUACAACGCAAGAACAUAAAAUGCAGAAAUAAAAUCUAGCCAAAAAAUAAAUCAAGAACAGAUCUUUAUGGUGAAAUACUAAUGUAUGCUACACAAGUACCAUUAAUAAAUAAAACAACCCAGAAAAAGUAAUUACCUCUAAGGUGAAUCUCAAACCCAGAUAGCUUCAACGAUCUCUUCACUAAAGAAGGAUAGAAGCCCCGGAUGCAGAGGGAGAGAGCGCCAGAAAAUGAAAUGGAUGCAGGAGUUUUACUAGAGGAAGUAUAUUAGGAAAAAAGGGAAAAGAGGAAAUGAGAGUGUUUAUUUCCUUCAACGUGUUGUGGCCAGUGAAGAAUUAGAGGAAAUGAGAGUCGAAGAGGGCUUCUGGGAAUAUACGCAGAAAAGAUUGAGAAUAACAAGCAAUGCCACCAAAUUUAAAUGGUCAAAAUUAUGCUAGUAUUAGUCCCCCCCACCUCACUGGCAACGUGUUCUAGAAACCGUGUCUCAUGCACGAUCUUUUUCUCUUUCUUUGUGUGUAUAGAAGGAGUCCAAGAAGAUGACUAGAGAUGUAUAUAUAUCGGCAGGAGGAGGAGGAGGAGGCGGCGGCGGAAACGUAAACGGGGAGAGAAUAUAUUUGAACUGCUGAGGCGUUGCUUUGCUGGCCUCCUUUCUUUUGCCCCAGCCGCUGGUUCUACACUUUCAAUUGUCAUGGCUGUAAGUCAAAUUAAAAGAGUUUAAGUUAAACUUCAAUAAUGAUAUUUUAAGUUUAAUAAACUUUUAAAUUUAAUUCAAAUUUAAUUUUCAAAAUAUUUGAAUUCGAUAAAAAGUCAUUUAAAUUCGACUCUGAUAAAUAAAUAAAUUAAAUUUAAACACAAUUUCAAACUCAUUAAAAUAAUUAGACAAAUUCGAGAACCCAAUAAAAAUGUAUUUGAAUUCGAUUCUAAUUAAUAAACAAAUUAAACUUGAACACAAUUUCAAACUCAUUAUUAAAAUAAUUAGACAAAGUAUGUUUAGACGCCUAGACGAAAAACCAGACGCUACAGAUUAUGGAGGCAAAGGGGCCAGAUGUAUUCAAAUUCUUUGGGCAAGCAAUCGGGGGUUGAACGGGUCAAAGUUGGUGAAUUGGUGACCACCCUCUCUUGUUCACGGAGAGUCGGUCUGUUUAAUUUAUUUGAUUGCGACCAAAACAAGUCCCGUUCUUUUGGUUUGGUCAAAAUUUGGAAUACCCAACUCAUUUUCCAAAUUCGAAUCAUUGAUCACAUUUCCCCUUUUGCUGUACGCUUUGUGCGAAUUAGUCUUCUUCUCUAAUCUACUGUCAUUCUUUUGUCCAAAUUCAAUUUUGACCUUUCUGAAGAUGAUAAAGCCAUGUGCGGUGCAUUUUUAAAGAGGAUAUGGCUCCAUUUGGAUUCGCAGUUUUUGAAAUGUUUUUAAAAUAUUUUAUUGUACUAGUGUAUAUGAAAAAUUUUUAUUGUAAAUAUUUUUUGAAAAGUUUUUGGAAUAUAUUUUGAUGUAACUUUUAGAAUUAAAAAAUUUUUUAGAGUAGCUUUUAAAAAUUAACAUUACCACUCACCACCGCCACCAUCCUGUCUUUUUUUCCUUUCUUCUCCCUCUUCCUUCAUUUUCCUUCUCCCUUUGCUUCACUCUUCACUCUUCAUAGACGGAAAGUGCUGUAAAUUUUAUUUUUUUAAUAUUUUUGUUUGUAUAUUUAUGAGUUGUUUUUGAUAUAUUAUAUGGAUAAGAUGUUUUUAGAGUUUUUUUUGCUUAUGUAUUAUUGUAACAGUGUAUUUGAAAAAUUAGUUUUUGAAAAAUAGACCAAUCCAAACAGAUUUCUUAUAAUUUUUUUAAAAAAAAAAAUAGGAUAAGUUUCUUAUAAUUCUCUAAGUUGUAUAAUUUAUUUUUUAUAUUAAUAAAUCUAAAUCAUACCAUAUAACAUGAUUUGAAUUAAAUUUAAAAUCAUGCACACGUGACGUGACGUACAUUCAUAGCUGCUAGUAUCAAAAAAAUUACUAUACCAUUAGCGUAUAAAACUAAAGAGUGAAUUCUUUUAAAUAUCGAUGCCAUUUCUGCUUUAAGGUUCCGUCUAAAUCCAGGAUGGGUUGAGCUAAAAGAGAAACCAAAAGCAUUUGUGAUUCCUCAAUUCGAAGCAAAGGGAUUGAGGUAACUAAGGAGUGUGAAACUGGACUUUGUAGCUACAAUCGAAAUUGGGUACUAUGGUACAAACGAAAAUUCAAUUGUGACUGGCUCUCACAACCAUCUUUAAAGAUUCUACACAGCCAAAACAGCGAUUGAAGAUUACCAUCGCUUCUGAUGUUGCAACUACGUACUUCCAUGGCAGCAAGUGAAGAAUGUUGAAUCUUAUUCCAAUGUGAAUUCCUCAAGCCAUAUGAGCACCUCAUUCCUCUUUUUUUAACAACAAAACAGGAGAUACACAAGAUAUUAUUUAGUAGUUAUUUAAAAAAAAAAAAAAAAAAAAGCUCAAAAAUUGCAACCAACAAUUUUCAUGAAUAAACAUUCAAAAAUAUGGAAGAAAAGACUUCCAUUCCCUAGUCCUUACCAUGAUAAAGCUCCACGUUCGACCUGGAUCAUUGUAACGUGCAAGCAAGCAACCGGGUUUAGGUUUUAAACCAUUCCUAAUAACAGCAGACCGGAGAACUUUCUCCUUCUCUCGAACAAUAUUCUCAAUAGGUUCUCCACUAAACUUUGUUACUGCUGCUAUGCCUCCAUCAACCUGCCUCAAUGUGAUUGCUUCCUCAUUCGGAGCCGGUAAACUGUUCAAACAAAUUCUUUUUAUUUAUAUACAGUAUUUGAUAGAAAACUGAGUGGUUUUAUUGGAGCUCCCUAAUUAACUCCUAAGAGACCCCCAAUUUUGACACUGGCUGUCUCCCUUGCCAAGUAGGGUUCAGCUUCAAAGGUUGUAACCUGAUGCAAUUUGGUGAACUUCACCUGCUCAAAUCUUUUUCUGAUGGCAGAACUAUCUGGAUAGACACUUUGGAUGUUUCAGCAUCAACUGCCUGAGUAAACACAGGAGUAGUCAUGGGUAUCUUUUCCUCUGCUGCGUUCUUCCCAAAAAUAUACCUGUGAGAAAAGAUUAAGGAGCUGACGGUAGGAACGAAAGCAAUUACCAAUCAAAUGAUAAACAAUGGAUUCAAACACCAAACCUCACCCAGCAACGGCAUUAAAACCACUUGAACCAGACAACUUGUCACCAUCUGUUUCGACGACUAUAAAAGGUUUGUACUUUCUCACCUGUAUUUAACGAUGGAAAGUUAGUUAUUACCCGGAGGGCUUGACAUUUAUAUCAGCAGGAUGGAAUUCCUUAGCUUCAACAAUGGGUCGGUUAGCAACAAAGGAAAUUUGAUUUUUCACGUAAGUUUUGUUUCAGAUCUGAAGAAUUAAAGCAAUGCCAGAUUUAACGGGUGCAAGUUAAGAACGCUGCUGCAUUCAGGGAAAAAACCACAGACCUCAUACGUAGCAGUUCUUUUUAGUAUCUGAUAUUUAGGCGUUUCUAACUCUGGAGUCUUGUAAAUCUGCAACUGUUAAAAUUGCAACCAUAUCAGUUACGGCUGCUUAAAAUUGGCAAUGGAAAUUUGACAAAUAACAAAAUUGCAAAUGGAAAAAUGCACUAGCGAAUUAAGUAGCAGAUACCUGCUUCAACACAUCCAUGAGGCCUUCAAUAGAAAAAAAGUCGUUGUUCUUUAUAGAAUCCCAGUAGUCCUAUUAAUUAUGAUGACAAACGAUAAAUAAAGACUACAGAACUGACUCUGACUUUCUGUGUCAAAGGCAAAGAGCAACAUCUUACAAUAUGGCUACAGAACUUGUUGGUUUUUGGAUUGAUUCCCAUGACAGAAGUUCCUGUGAAGACUAAUUCAGGUCUCCAGGGCAGAAGCAUGAAAGUCAUUACCAUAGUCCAUCUUGUGGUGAUCUCAUAAGGCCCUGUCUAUACCAACUCAAUCAGUAAAACCAGCAAUAUCAAUUUGGAAAUCUGACAGAUUAUACUUCUAGCUUUCCAGUUGUAAAAACACCAGUUACGCAUGGCAAAAUGUGAAGGAGACGUGCAUGCCGACCAAAAUAGUUUCACUCGUCUAUUUAACAAAUAUACAGGUCACGAAUGACACCCCAAUGAAAGAUACUAUAAUACCACCAUCCUCUGGACAACCAAAAAAUUCGCUACUCCAUAUGCAAACUUUCGAAUGAUCUUACCAUUCUCACGAAAGAAACCGACUGCCCCAAAAAGCACAUAUUAAAAUUUGUAAGUAAAAUACACAUUCCAUUGCUGCCUUUUUCUUGCUUUGGUUUUUGUUUUUGUUUUUUUUUUUAAUUCUUUUCUUCCUUCCCUGCAUUCGUAGUUGUUCAUAUAGCAGAAUACUAGCCUACCAUAAAGACAGGGAACAAAUAUGGUACACUUGGGAUCAUUAAACAACAUCUGGGGUUGCCUCUCACAGCAGAAUUGAAUGUCACAAAAUAUAUCAUACCUGUUUGACCCAGUGUAACUGAAAAUGGGGGCGGAACAGCAACUUUAACGUAGCAAUGUUAAACAGGUAUCCACUGAGAGUAUCGUGUCUAGUAAUGGGGUCUCUGAAAUCGACACGCUCGUCAUACGCAGUCCUGUCGAUCCCUUGGUCAUCGAAGAGGUGAGGAAGGUCCUCGUACAAGAAGCCAACCAACCUUUCGACGUCAUUUACACUAGUUGGUUCUUUCGGCGGGCUCCGUUCAACAAUGCUCAUCCUAACUGCCCAUCCCAAUUUUGGCUUCCCUCUAGUUAGUGUAGUUCUUAUUUUACUUGGGUUGUUUUUGGAAGGAAUGAAGAGGAGUGCCGUGGAGGGUUUGGCGGCGGUGGUGGGGUGGUGGUGGUGGAAAGUGGGCGUGCGCCGGCAAAUUUGGUCGCGGCACAACUGUGCAGUGGCCAUGUGGAUUGCUGCGCAGAUUGUGAGGCAUCGAACGACUGGGUGAUUGGUGGCCACUGGCCAGGCCGGUGUUUACAAAAGUCCUGGCCAUACAAAAGGAUUGGUUGGUAUUUUUCGUUGCAGCUCGAAGCAGCACCGUUUAUUCGAGGAUUGCAAAAUUUAGUAAAAUGGAUAAUUGACAAAAAUAUCUUAUUAGAAUUAUCCAUGGGCUGAAGGCCCAAUAACGAUGCUUGGAGACACAACAAAUCGGGACCAUUGCAGAGAGUCCAACUGAAACUGAAUUCCAGGAGUCGAGGAGGAGGGCGCUAAGCCUUUUACUCCUCUUGGUUUUCAUUUUCGGAGGAAAGCUUUAGCGUUUUCUGCUGUAGUCAGGUUCAGCCUAUGGCUUGAGCAUGCUUUUGACCUACUGUAGCCUAGGAUUUUCAGGUGGUAAUAUGCUGCAUGCGGACAUGGGUCCGAUCGGUUGCCAGGAAAAUCGUUCGAACUGAUUUUGUACAAAAUGCAUAAAAAGUAACUUUGUACGUGUACUGCAUAAUUCACUUGCAACAAACAUGUAACUGUAAAAUAAAAUUUUAUAAAUUUCAUAUAUGAUAUAAUAUGGAUCUUAUAUAUAUAUAUAUUUUUUGUCAAAUCUUCGCCAUAAACUUUCAGAAAUGAUUGUUCCUGCCCCUCCUCCGCUGCAUGCUACAGUCAGAGGAAUGAAGUCACCAUGGACAUGUGUCAUGGUGACUUGUUCGGCCAUUUCCCGAACAAGGGAAAAGGGUAGUAUUAAGUUUGGUCCCAAACUUACAGGAUAAGUUUGAGGCGUGAAUUCAACAUUUCUAGAGCUCCGCCCAGGGUAAACUGGUAAUCUGAUAAUCUUGUAAUCAUCUUAUGGAAUGGAUAUCGUGAAACAAAGGGAUAAACCUAUUCUCCCUAGCGCUUAUUGGGUAAGGCCCUAUAAAUAAAUAAGGAAUCAUAUCAUGAAAGAUAUGCACACACUUAAAAAUAAUUUUUAUUCCUACCCAGAGGUGCUCUCGGCUCCUUUCACUGUACUUUUAUCAGCAGUUUUUCCCUGCCUUGUCAAAGAGAGAGAGGCAUUUGAGUUUUAAAUGUAAAUCACGAAUGAGUAAUGACAUUAAUGAAAAGAACGGAGGUUUAAAUCCUCCACUUAGCUAAAAUCUGCUGCAUGUUCUUUAAUUUUUGAUUAGAAGGUUCACUUGAAUGGAAGAAACUUGACUCAUCAAUUUGCUUCAGUCAUAUGAAUUUUCGUGGAUGAGGGAUCUUUGCCUAAACAAUUUCUUGCAAUCAGCCUCACUUCUUGCCUGCUAAAUUAUCUGGAGGAAUCUAUCGAGCAAAAGCCCCAAAUUUAAAUGGCCAGCGUUGUUAAGAUUCAGGAGAGCAAAAGGCAAAAACACCAUUACGAUUUACGAUAAAAAAAAAAAAAAAAAAAAAAAGACCACAUGAUUGUAAUUUGAAAAAGGUGAUGCCAACAUGGCAUAUUUUUCCAUGCGAAAUACACGCUUCUAAACAUUUAAUGCACACCCGUGCACGGGUCCGACACUCACUAAGGUUUUGUUUGAGUGAGGGCAAAAGGGAUCACUUGGGAUCAUCCGUGACAUAUUUUCUAUGCCAAUUCAAUGUCAUCUAUAGUAUUAUGCCAAGUGUUCUGUUAUUAUUUACAUUUUAAUUUUCAAAUAAUUCAACUUGGUUUGGUUUAACACAAGUGUAAAUAAUAAUAGGACACUUGGCGCAAUACUAUAGGUGGCAUUGAAUUCUCAAGUGAAAAGGGAUAGCACAGAAAAUUUCUACAAGUUCAUUAUUGGAAUUUCUUGUUUUGAAUUAUGAAGAGAUUAUGAUCAGGUAAUUAGCUCUUGCUGAGCUGAUAUUUCAUGCACUCCAAUUUGAUAUCAUUGCUUGAACAACAACAGAGUAAACGAAAAGUGAGUAGCUGGUAAAUAGUCCUGCCCUGCCCUUCAAAUAUAUUUGGUUUAGCUGGGUGUUAGCUUACCCCACCCCCCCCCCCCACCCCAAAAAAAUUUCAAUCUUGCAAAAUUUAUAUCUCGAGAAUUCUUGUCUUCAAUCUAGUUUCUUGUAUAUCUUUUUCUAUUCAGAAAAAAUACAUACACAACGAUGUUUUACUUUCCUUUUGUCGUAACAAAUCUGCAUUUUCUAAACUUUUUUUCCUAAUGCUACAAUAAAAUUUCAGCUAAUCAUAUAACUCAAAUAACCAUUCACUAAAUGCUGCUUUCUUUGUACUUUCUUUCUAUUCCCCCCCCCACCUCCCCCAACUCAAAAUAAAAUAAAAAAAAAAAAACUCUUUUCCUGAAGAACAUCGCACAUAAUUUUUCUGCUACUCAAACAUGCUUGCAAUUUUUCUUUUAGUUGAGAAAUUGAAGGAGAAUAAAAAGAACAGAGACAAUAGGAUCCAGCCUUUUUAUCACGUGGGAGUUAAACGGAGGGAACUCUCCGUCACACAAACCUUAUAUUCAUUGAAGGUUGAACCAAAAGAAAAAAAUGGUAAUGAAACAUUAAUCCAAUUUUUUCUUUUUUGGGGAAGUUCUCUUUUUCUAUAGUAACUACCAAACUAGGCCUUAAUCUUCGUAGUGUACAACCUCGUACUGUAGAAUGCUAGGGCAGGUAUAUAAGUUCACAAUCUCUACCCUCAGCUCAGUGUUCUAAGCUCCCAAAAUAAAUCCACUUAGCUGCAAGCCAGCAACCAUCCAUCUGCUUCAAAUCCUACAAUAAGCUAAUAUGUCCACCAUUUCGAUGGUCAUGGUAAUCUUACUGUCCAUGGUAAAUGAUGACCUCGAAUAUUAUCACAUUUCUCAUCCUCCAUCGUCAAUGUUUAUGGAAGACAAGGAACAAGGGUACUGCCGUUCUCCAGCUGCACCUGCUGAUGGAGACGGAGAUGACGACGACGAUGACGGUGAUGGAGGAUAUGAUUAUGCUCCAGCUGCUUGAAGUUUUCAUCGGGGCUUUACCAAUACCCUAGUUUUUAUACCAUCAGCCAAACCCUAGUUCUUGAAUACUAAAUCCCAUAUUUUAUUUAAACCCUAAAAUUUUAAGACCGCUAAUAGAGUGUAUCUAUCCCCUUGUACAAGGUUAUCCAAGAAUGUCUUUCACUUAGUUGAAAUAAGGAGAAUAUGUAUGUAGUGCUUUCUAAGGAAGAAAUCCUGCAGUUGAUCGUUAUAUACAGCCCUAAUUUCUUGGCUUUGCAUCUAUUAAAUCAGUACGCUGUGAAAGUUUGAGGUACUAGUGAAUGACUCGUUUCUUGCUAGUCACUUUUUAUACCCUAAGGAUUAUAAACUCCAACGGUUUGUGAAUCCAUACAUGUUCAUGUUUUAUCUUUUCUUUUUUCUUUUUUUCUUUUUUGGGGUCCUGGUAGGCCAUGUUCAUGUUCAUGUUAUCAAAAAGGCCUCCAAAAUAUUAAUUAGGAAUUAUAGUUCCAUUGCAAUUUCCAUGGUCAAAAUUAUGUAAUUACUGGGGCUUAUACGUACAAAAACAAUCCUGGAAUGGCCUCCAUAUCUCAAUCAUGGUCUGAUUUAGAGGGUGAAUGAGCAUUUCUGACAAAAGGUUAAUCGUUUUUGGUAAAGGAAAUGGAGUAGGGUUUGGAACUUUUCCAGUUCUGACUGAGCAUUUUGUCACGCAAAAGCACGAUAUAAUGCAUAAUGGAGCUCCAUCAUCUCAAUAUUUCUUACACCAAGAUGAAAAGGGCUAAUCAAGCCAUUGAAGUUUCGUACUCAUAAUUUGAAUUAUCUAUAUCUUUUUCAUACAUUUGAUUACUUUUAUGUUGGAUAUAUAUCUAAUUACUAAUUGUUACAGGAAGUAUAAGUUUUAGAUGGUUCCGUUUCUCAUGGAUUUAUAUAUCCAAACAGUGUUCAGUUUGGAGAAAAUCUAUCUCAAAUUGUCUCUUCGAGACUCCAAAAGAUUGGUUUGGGGGAUCUAGUGGCAUCUUAUUCACUUGAGAGCCGCCCUAUAUAUCCAAAAAUGGUCCCAUGCUUAUUAGUUAAAAGAUUAAUCUCGUAUACAUUCUCAAUAUAUGCACUAUCACCAUUAGAUAUAUGUCACAUGUGUAAAAUUUGAAUUUAGAAUCUAAAAUUUGCUCAUGUGUCAUCCAUCCAAUUGUGAUAGUGUAUAUAUUGACAAUGUAUAUAAAAUUUAUUCUAAGUUAAAAUCUAUUUCCCAUCGUUACUUUCAAGAAAAUUGUUGGGUAAAUUACAUGUAAUUCCUUCGUAGUUUCAUCUGUUGUCACGUGAUCCCUUUAACGUUUCAAAAGAUCCACUUCACUGCCCUAUGAUUUUAUGUAAAAUGAAAAUUUGACGAAAAAUAAUUAUGUACCAUCGGUAGUUAAAAUAUCAAUAGUAUCUUUACUUAAAUGCAAAAUUAAUAAAUGGUUUAACCAUCAUGUAUGCAAGUAUAAGGAAAUUACAUGAAUAAAUUCAAAAAUCAUAAGAAUUAAAGUGAAUAUUUAUACAAAUUAUAAGGGAGUACAUGGAUAUUAAGAUUUUAUCACAUGUGCUUUAAAGCCCGUUUGGUGUCCAUUUUCUAGUUUACAUAGAACCACACGGGAAUUAUGUGGCUAUUUUAACUUUAUGGGGGUUAUCUGGCAUUUUGUAAAAUCACAGGGGGGUAAUAAGUAUUUUACCCAAAAUUGUUUGCCCUAGACGUCGUGCUUCAAUUAAAUUUUAUAACUUACGCAUUUUCUUAAAAGUGAUCCUCGAAUGAACUAAUAUGGCAAAAUUUUCCACUUAAGGUUGAAUGGUUGCUAGAAUGGAAGCUCCAGCCCGGACCUUUCGUUUUAGAAUUGCAAUGACCCUAGGAACUUUUUUAUAGGUAUGUCUAACAAGAGUUCUACUUAAAAAAACCUUGCCAUUAAAGGCUUGGUGAGGUGGGAGACAAGGGUUCAGACGCUUGGUGUAGUGCACAUUAAGUUGCCUCUCACCAACUGCCACAUUAAGUAGCUUCUUAAAAAAUUCAACAAGUGUGUAGUGCACUCGUCUGGUCCGAUAGUGAUUCAGUUUCCAUCGAUCCCCCUAAACCCAGUUGGUCUGCCCCUUAUAUUAGGAUAGUGUAGGAUACUAUAGAUAAAAAAAAUGACGAUUGACAAAAAAAAAAAAAAAAGCAUUCUACUUGCAGGAAUAGGAAUACGAAUAAUUUCGAAUACCUUCUCCUGAAGUUUCUGACAAUUUUACUGACCUCCUUUGAUAUUUGAAAAAUUACACGUAUCUCCCUUGAUUUGAUAGUUUUAUUAACAAAAUUUUAAAAUAAUAUUGAGUUGGUCAAAUUUUUAAAUGAAUAUCCAAAAAUGCUCUUGUGUAAUGAGUUUUAAUUUACUUUUCCAUACAAUUAUAAAAUUAUCUAGUAUAAUUAUAAGAAAAGGUGCCAAAAUUUUCAUGUCUAUACUUACUAUUUAAUAAAUAACUAUAAUAAUAAUUUUAUCACUAUGGUAGAAUAUUUUUUAUGGUAUUUUAUUUUGAAUUUAAAUUUAUAAGUUGAAAAGAAAAUGUUGAAAUAAUUCAUUUAGAGUUUAGAAAUUUUUUGAGUUGUGGGAUUAUCAUAAUUUAGUAAUGAUUUUGGAUCAUUUCCUUUUGAUUUAUUGUUAAUUUUAAUACCAAAAAAUAGAAAAUAAAUAUCAGCAAAAACAUUGGAUUGCGUAUAAAGUUAAUUUAUCAAAAAAAUCACUAGUUUGAUAUUUGAUUACAAUAGAAACUAUAGGUAAUAGUGAUAGUUCUACAGUUUUAUUGGCAAAAAAUUCAAAAAAAAAAAAGGAAUAAGAAGGAAAAGAAUAAAAUUUUUUUUAAAAGUCAUUCUAAGUAUAAACAUACAAAAUAAGGGAAUUUUAUUAAAAUAUUUAAGGAUAGUACUAUCAUUUUAAAUAACAAGUGAGGUAUAUAUAAUUUUUAAAAUCUCAAGAAGCUAAAUGAAAUUAUUAAAAACCUCAAGGGAGGUUUUUGAAAUUAUCCCAUAGGAAUAUGAAUGUCGACAUUUUUUGAAAUUUGAAUGCUCAAAAUGUGGCCAUGACUCUUGAGUCCAUUCCCCAUGCUCCACGGUAGCAGCUCGACCACAUGCCUGAUUUCACAUCAUAUGAUUGUGCUUCCGGAGUCUCUCCACUUCCAGCAACCAAAGUAGUCCCCGUCUCAUUGAAUGGUUGAUUGAAUGGUUCAAGAUAUUUAUCACGUCAGAAAAGUCAAAGCAAAUUUUAGUUUAUCUUUUCAAUAUAAUUCUUCUUUCUAAUCGUAUGCAUCUAAUCAUUCAAAUUUAAAAUUUGAAUUUAUAGGGAUAAAAUUGAAAAAAGAAAUACAAACAUCACAAUUAAAUCACUAUAUUUAAGAAAGUUGAAUUUCCGAAACAUAAUUAAAUAAUUGGAACAGAGGGAGUAGUAGGUUUGUAGCACAUGAAUGAUGAAACCGCAGUGCAAAAAUUUGGAGCAAUGCAAAAAUAACUCUCUUAAGGGGUAUGUUGGUCGUUGAAUUGUAUGAGAGGUGAUUAUGGAUCAGAGAACAAAUCAAGGAUAUAAAGCUUCUGAGAAUAUUCGAUCAAUGGAUGUUUAGCUUGGCUUUGUGUGCACAUGCGAUGCAUACGUGAACAGCAAUACCGUAAUCAAAUCAGGUCCGUUAAAAAUGUGCUAGCUUUUUCAAUCUUGCUUGCUCUUUUAUCUUCAUUAGGCCUAUAUUUAUAAAUACUAGUGGGGAAUCGCACAUACUGUGUGUGUGCACAUCAAACAAAUAUUUUUAAAGCAAGGAAAAAAAGGGAUAAUUUUUUUUUUGGAGAUUAUUCAAAAUUUUUUGGUGAUUAAAACGUGAGUAUAUUAUGUUGAAUUUUGAAAGGAUACACUUCAAAUAAAAAAUAAUAAUGAUGUAAUUUUUUAACAUCAAACUCGUGAGCCAUCCAUUAUACAUGGAGUGAUAUAUAGAAUUCAGCCUCAAACAUAAUAAGUGUACAGUGUUGAUGCCGUUUCAAGAACCGACCGACCAGAUUGUGUGAUGUGGCAGUUUUAAUUGUUUACUCCCCUUUUUUAUUAAAAAAAUAAAAAUAAAAAAAAAUAAAGUCCCGGUAGCGUCAAGCCCUCGUCCGGUCAUGCCCUUGUGGCCCAACGACAUGGUGGACGUCACCGGUCUUGUCUUCCCGUACUGGAUUUUGUCCGAUGAAUCGAUAUUUUAACCAUAAAAUUGUACUUGCGUCUCCGGGUAACUAUUUUGCCCCAAAAAGAAUGGAGUAUUACCGUAUAUGGAAACAAGACAGUGUGAUGCAUGAUAGAUACUCUAAUAAACAGUUUCCUGGAUUAUGAUCUGCUGAUCAUAUGAUUUGUCUGUCAAAAUUUAAGUUGACCAAAAAAAUUCUUCCCGUGUCCGCACCGGAGAGUAGUUCCUGCGUACCAAUCCCCGUUUAUUUUACUCCAGAGCCACACUAAACAUAAAGAUGAACAUUGAAUGUUAGGAGGAAAGAUUGUAAGUAAACCUUUAAGACCUCGACAUUUAUUUGAUUUUUUUUUUUUUUAAAAAAAAGCAAGUAGUAGAAGGACGGUUAACAUUUUGUUGAGUGAUGAAUAAAUUUGAUGGCACGGAAGAAGUAAUUCAAAGAGAGAUGUCUCGAGUUUCAACACUUUCACUUAUAUUUAAAAAAGUUUUUUUUUAAAAAAAAAAAACGGAUAUUACUGACGUGUCAUAUGAGAUCUCCGACGUGGUUAAGGGACCAGUGGCACACACGUAAUCGGCGUCGGGAUGUUGUCAUAAUCCCCGUGCCAGCCCUGCGCUGCACCACGCCUCCCCUGCUUCCGAUCCACUUCUAUAGUGUUAUAUACUCCCCUGCUACCCAGUCUUCCUUUACACCAAGUCCAGUCUAACAAAAAAAAAGAAAAAAGAAAAAACUCCUCCAAUACGUAGUCCUCGUACUUCGCUUACCAGAAGUAUAUUUAAAUUUUCCUUUUCCAUUUUUGUCUCCUCGGUGAAGUUUGAGUUGAUCCGACUACCCGACAAGAGAAAAAAAAAUAAAUGUCGAUUGCUUUUAGGAACAUCAUUAUUGAGUCGUCAUGGUACGAGAAGAAGAUGAGGAGGCAGCACGCAGAUGGAGAUGACGAUGAUGAUAAUGGCGGCUAUGAUUAUGCCCCAGCCGCAUGCGUUGAAGGCGAUGGCGACGACGAUGACGGAGAUUAUGACUAUGCUCCGGCUGCAUCCCUGGAGGAGGAGGGUGAUGACGACGAUGACGAUGACGAUGACGGUUAUCAUUGUGCUCCAGCUGCAUGAACUUCAUUUACUUCACCCAAAAUUUCAUACUUGCACCUGGGAAUCUUUUCGCAUGUUCUUUUUUUUUUUUUUAAUCAUAUCGAACCUUCCAAGUUACAACUCAAUUAGUAUUGAUUAAUUGUAGUAUUCCUCGUUUCUGAUAUUUUAGCCUCAGAACCCUAAUGGUGAAAUCUAUUAACUUCCUUUUCCGGAUUUUUACAGUUUCUGGUUCUGCUGCUCUUUUUGGUUUGUUUAAUUGUACUGCUAACGUUACGUGGGUUGCAGUACUGUUCAGUCAGAGUGAUAAUUUAAAUAAAGUCACAAUAUUAUAUAAUUUAUUUGUGACAGUAUAAUACGACCAUCAGCAUGAAUAAAUUUUGCAACUGACGUGUUUUAAAUUUCUUUUCAAACGACAAAGCAUAACUUUGGGGUCGCGGGGCUCAUAAAAGAGGCCCGGUUAUAGAGAAAGAGGGGCAGAGGAGGAGGGAGGGACUAGGGAGGGAGGGAGGGAGAACAGAAAAAA